UUUUUUUUUUUGUUGUUCACCUUGCGAUUUUUGGGAAACAGUAAUGGAUGGGGAUUGAGGGAUGUGAGAGUGGAGAGUACAGUACUGACGAUGUCCCGCUUAGCUUUAGGAUUCUGAGCUGUAGAUAUGGUGAGAAUAUUGACGGUGGUUUUUGUUUGAUUUCAUUCUAUCUAUCGAGCGGUAUUAGUUAAUCAGAAGUGGUCAGAUUCACGCCGUUAUCUGAGGAAUGUAACACUCUUUCUUAUAGGCAUUUACUCGCGAUCUGCUGAUAAUAUGCGUAUUUCCUAUGUUCUCCUCCGCCUAUUCAACUCUUUCUUCUUAUCACGUGCUCAGUUGGUUUUCAGGUCGAGCGCGAGUGAGGAUAUUAUCGGACACCCAUCCACAGCGGUUAGAUGUGCUAGAACCAUAAGAACAUAGAUCGACUCUUUCGGCCGCAUAAGCUUAUCAAGGAUGGUUCGACAGCAAUACGAAACCGUGUGUCCCAAGGCGGCUAAGCGUGCGGAUAUCCGUGAAAAAGAUCCGAUCGCGUGGCGAAGGAGAGAGAUUCCUGUGAAACUCAUAAGUGUCAAAUCGCCGGUCUUAUCUCUGAAGGAAGAGCACGCCGACGCUCGAAGUGUGCAAUCUUAUGGGGGCUACUAGACAUCCCUCGUCUAGUAUUGAUUACUCACACAAAGGGGUUGGUUCGAGACUAUUUUAAAAUUCCUGAAACUAUUUCCUCUGGAAAUGAGAACACAAUGAGUGUUUAAACUUAGUAAAAAAAUGUAAUCUCUUAUUUCUAAUUCUGAAGUCCAUUUUGUUGAUUAUGAAAUGGCGGACAUUUACCGUGAACUUUCUCUAUUAGACUACGAAGAGCCUAAGUCGAGUGCUCCCGAUGUGUGUUUGGUGUAACGUGGUCAAUUCCUGGGGAAAAUUCGUUGGCGACAGUUAUUUUCCAUCUUUAGUAUAUGAUAACUAAAGUAUUGCGUCCUAUUAAGCACACUUAUUCUGUUUCAGCAUUGUGUGUUCGAAUGUAACACGAGCAAUAUUAUCACAUACUCCAAUCAUAUUUAGACUCAGAAGAGGGUAUGCUAGGUAGUAUGUCAGGAUAAAAAGGAAGGUACAAUUGGAUGUAGUGUAACGCUCUAGCAUCAACACCUGAUCUAUCUGUAAUAGUAAUUCUAUCAAUUAAAGCUCAUAUUUACAUACAUUCUUGAUGUUACAUCUACAUUGUUAUCUUUGUACUUAUGCAAUACCACAGAAUCAUUUAUUCAAAAUCAAUUCGUUUGUAUACUCUCAGCAUGCAUUUUGCCACUUUAUCUUCUAAGAAUAGCUUUUAAUCCGAUAUACCUUCUUGAUUUCAAGGAUAUUGUCGAACAUGUGUGCCAAUGACGUUAUUCUUUACAAGACUUUUUAGAGGGCUAACUCAGUACUAACGCUACCGUACUGUCCUUGUACUGUCCUGAUCAAAGAUUCUCUGUCGCUUAAGGUUAAUCUGGCUCUGUGAACGGGCAAGAUUAUGAGUAACCAAGGUAUUUCUUCAAUUGUGGAGGGUCUCUAAUGCGAAAAGCAGCGACAGAGCUAAAGUUUUUCAGGAGUUUAGAAUUUCAAAAUUAUUAAACCUUAACUUCGACGACUACAUCAUGUUUCAGAUGUAAAGACAAAUUUGGAUCUAAUGUAAAGACGUCCUCUAGUGGAAGAAAUCUUCGAUAGGGGCGUAACUGCACUCGUGUGUAGCAAUAAUCUUCUUUGGCUGUACAACAAAUGAACAAAUGACAUUCGCCCAACAAUUUGUCUGUUUCUUGAAUCUUCAAUAGUUUGGAUGAUGUAUGGUAAGCCUCACUAAGGUGCUGUUUCUUUACAACUCGUGUCGAGUGUAAGCUCGGCUAGUCGAGGCUCUGCUCGAGUAGAGCUCUCUGCUCUAUUACUGGCCAUUGUAUGAGAAGUCGUAGUAAAUCGUGUUCGCCACAACCUGCUGUGGAUCGAAUGUAAGUUAUCUAUAUCACCAAGCGACGGAGGGAACACGCCAUGAGAGGAAUGCGUGGUGAAGGUUCCACCACGAUAUCCAGAAUCUGCCAAGUGUGAUUGUAUCUCGGAUAAUUGGGGAGAGAACCACCCAAUGUGCCCAAUGAGUUCUAGCCAACAGAUCUAGAGAAUGUCGAUGUUUCAACAGCAGUUAACAAUGCCCCGAGGAAAUUCUUAAGUAUCUGGCACAAAAGCGAGACUGCUAACCUGUGGGGGGCCCUGAUGUAUAGGAAAAACGAUCAGGCCGGGGUACAUAGUUAGGGUUUACGCUCGUGUUACUGUGAUGCAGAUUAGUGCAGAAGCAGGUUAGCCUGUACGGAUAACCGAAGAAAGGGCACAUCCUGGAAUUGCCGAUUUGGAAACAAUCUCACUCUGCGCGUGGGGCUAGCAAAAGACAAGCAACUAAUUCGCGGGUCGUACACAGCAGACCGGAAGAGGAAUAUAUCUCGAUCACUUGCACACUAGCGCCCAGUGCUGCUGGCCGCCGAAAUGGAAGCAUUAGUGCAGUUAGCGGAAGACUGCAAUUUCGGGCGUGAGGGUAGCGUCCAAGUAACAUUCCUACUUCUAGUUGUCACGAGCCAAAAUUCCUGACUGGCUGCCAUUGUCUAAGAAGAUCCCAUUCUACGAUUGUCCAUAGAGGCUAAACACAGUUGAAACGUAACAUUGCGUUUGUAGAAGACUGAUGGGUUCAGAAAGGCCGUCACGGUAACAGUUGCGAAGGUUCAGUGAUACAGUUCAUCAAUGGGCAGACUUCUUACCUCAGAGCUCUAGCUGAAAGAACUAGAUUUAGGUUAUCUCUAGAAUAAUCUGAACGUUCAAAGUUGUCCAGAAUGAAGUGUGGCUCUGAAUGUAAAAUGAGGACGUCUGGCAGUAAACAAAUCACGCUGGCUCCGCGUGGUUCUGCCUGCUGCUGCUUGAUACUGGUCCUGAUCCCAUGAGAGGCCCUUUAAGGAGAGGUUCAUCCAUCUAGUGAUGUUUAGCGGGAAGAUUCCCCGUAAUGCGACGACGGCAACGUCCUAUAUUUUGGUUGGUACGUAGGGUAGUUCGGCUGCCACAGAAGCGGGUUCCGCGCAGAACAGCAAAGCAGCAGUGCCAGCCCGCCCCCGCCGCCAGGAUAGAACGUCUAGACAGCUGUCCAGAAGAAAAUCAAGGGAACGUUGAGAUCUCCUCGAGCAGUGUGCAUCACUGUUGGGAUUAGACAUUCAUUAAUUGACUUUAUCAUUUCUCCCCAAGCGUGCUUACUUGGCUUUGUGCUAACGCGAAUUUGUGUGUCGUUUGGCUGUGUUUUAACUUAGGGUAUUUAAACACUUUUCUUUCACACCUUAUCACUCUCACUCACUCUCAAACCUCUCUAAAACCCUAAACCUCUGAAGGCAUUUCUGCAAACUUUCAUCUCUUCUUCAAGUAUGGAUGGUCAACAACAAGAGAGUUUUCAACUUCUUCAACAAAUGGAAUCCACCACCACUGCCAAACUUAAGCAUUUCAACUCAAUGGUUCAGGCGUUUCCACUACCAGUUAUACAAGGAACCCCAUAUCUUGAUCGUUUACUCACAUAACUAGCAAUCCCUUUGAGGGAUUAGAUGUGUUAUGUGAAACACUGGUGUUGACAACUUGAGAAGAAAUGGAGUUGAUCUUACUGAAGAACUCGUCAACAAGGUUGGGGAAACUAAUUCGCAAGGCUCUAUGGCCCUGUUUCCACUUCUCAUCAAGGAGUUCUGGAAUUUGCAGUGCUGAUGACCAUUUCAUGCUUCUCUAUGUUUUGGGGUAAGAUAGUAAUACUGAGAGUCAAUUGCUUCUUGUGUGAACAUGGAGAAGAUGGAGGAAAAGGAUUUACAACAUCAACCCUAGAUCAAGGCGGUUGCUGAAGUAAUCAAUCCACCAUCUUCAAACCCAACACUGAGGAAUCUUCAAAGAACAAGAGCUGCUCAGAACCUCAGAGUGUGGCUCAAGAAUUCGGGGACUAUUCACCACCGCCCAGCCUCAAAUCCUCUGAUUACAUCAAUGCAGAUCAGAAGGUGCUUCUGUAUUGCAUUACAAGGUGUGAAGAUCUGCCUUCCUGCCAUACUCUUCAGUACAUAAGAGCUCUGUCAGGGAGACCGAACAACAUGAAGCUCAGAUCCUACAUCCUCUGGGAGAUUGUUAUCUGAUGUUUUCAUCGAGAAUGGGCUGUAGAUCAUCUGGAAGGCCAAGCUGAUGCUAGUUUGGCAAUAGACACUGGGAAGCCUCUGAACGCCAGAAAUCUCAAGAGUAUGGGAAUAUUAAAGAAUUCAAGUCAGACCCACGCUGGACACAUCCUGGGAUUCCUUGAAAUCAGAGGAGUUGCCCUCAUCUCUGCUAGGUUCUACAAGAUGAACCCAGCAGAUGCGGUGCUAUCUAUCUUCCAAGCGUCUGCGGAUGAAGGUGUUGACAUCUUGACUUCAGCCUCGACGAUUGUCUAGAUUCAGAAGAAGACUUCGUCAGGUACAGAGAGGUCUCUCUGAGAAGAAGAUAACAUCACAGGCAAAGAGGCAAGGACUUGGAGAUCUCUCUGGAAGCAGAUCUCCAGCUUCUCGGCAAUUUUCUUGUACGUUGUUCCUAUUUCCUUGCACCUUGAUGGUUUCUCUACUCCUUCCUCUAAUCCUUCCCAACACCACCUUUAUAAACUCUGAAAUCGCACCGCUUCGAUAUAGCCAGGACCUUAACCUUCACCAUUCUUUAAUAUGGCCCUGAUACAUUCAUACUACCUUUGUGAACCUGAACAAAGAACAGAGCAUUCUCUUAUCUCUUCAGAACAGAUCCACCACCAUACCUUCAAUCUCUCCUGAUCAGAUACUCUGACCCUGACUCCCACCUACCAAACUUCGAGGCUCAAAACCUUGCUUCAAAAACAAACAAACACAAUCUGAAGCAACUUCACCAGUUCCACCAGACAAACAACCGAACAUUACUUGGCUGAGACCAACCUCUUGAACUCAACUUACCUACUCUCCAGCACCUUGACUAUCACACUUCAAACAUCACUCCGCAGCAUCCUGAACCUUAGACUUUAACCCUGCUUGUACGGCUUCACCCCAAGAUCUUGAACCUCAACUGACAGAAUCUGGAACGCUUCACUUAAAUCUCAGCCUCCAACAUUCUCUCCACCUCAUACCUCCUGAACCGACCUUUGCGAUAUACCUACCCUUGGGAAGCAUCAUGCUGGUCGGCAGGGGUUCAGCUACAAACGAGGUCAAGAUCUCUGCACUUUACUCAUGAAUCGGUGGUAUGAUCUGACUCGUAGGACACACUGAAAAGAGUCUGGCCUGCGAUGACCUCUGUGAGGUCUUAGACCUGUAAGAACAUCUUCUGAAAAGUCAGAAAUGUAAUCAGAGAUGCUGAGGCAAGAUUCAGGAAAAGACUUGCAGAGGAAGUGCUGAAGCCAGAAGGUGGAAGAAGAGAGAUUAGCAAGAGGAAGUGAAGAAGAGGUUAGAAGGCUGGAGGAGAAAGAGAGAGAGAAGCCUGAAAUUCUAAGGAUAAAGGAAGCUGAGACAGUUGCUGUGAAGCUUGAAGCCCUGGCUGCUGUGAAGCACAGCGGCGUCUGACUAGGGGGGAGGCCUAUCUUCUUCUGUUUCCCUAUUGGUUCUCGCAGCGGCUGGAAAGAACUUAAGCAAAGAUCAGACUGACCCGUGCAGAUAGGGAUAAGAAGACAUGUCAACGACAACAUUGAACAUGCUGACUAUGUAUGCUUCAUGGAAUUGCCUCCGCCUCCGAACCCCUAGACUUAGCGACUAUGUUUUUUUGUUGCCUGUUUUGUGUUGGCUGUUCUCUAUUCUGUUUUCCUGUUCUUGUUGCCUUUGUGCUUUAUCUGAUACAAGUUUUUCUUUAAAUUCCUUAUUCUUGCUAUGUCUUUUUGAUUCUGCAAAAGGGUGGAAAGUCAUUACAUAGCUCUGAGUGAAAAGGAAUAUUGUCUAAAUUACCUUAGAGCUCUCCUGCAACUUAUUUUCUUAAAACAAGAUUUAUUCAACCGUCGGACUUAAGAAUUGCAGAAGGUAUCAAGAACCUCUUUACUUAGAAGCUCUGUGGUAAGACUUCUGAACUCCUGAGCACUAUUCAGGGGAGCUCUUGUCUAUCUGAUCUGAUAUUUCUAUAUGUGUUCAUCUGCUAAUUAAGAUUGUUUUGUCAUCAUCAAAAAUGCCGGGAGAUUGUUUAGACGAAAAUUGUUCUAUAACGACUGUCCUUGAUUUUGAUGAUACAACGAAUGAAACCAAAAUGGCACCCUAACUAAAAGUUUCUAAGCUGUGCAGGGGUUCUAAAGAAAGAGGAAGAGACUCUGAUCGAUGUCAUCAGAUACAUAUACUCACGGAUCGAGUACAAAUUAUCAGAGAUAAGAGCAUCUGAGUAAGAACACGUUCGAGAAAGUCUAACUCUGAGAAACAGCAAAGUAUCGAGAAGGAUUCUGAACAAGAAGGUAAGCUCUAGAGUUCUGACUCUGAUCAACGGCUAUCUCUAAACUCGCAGAACUAUAUCGGUUAUCUGAGAAUCCAUCAGAAUCAAAAGAGGAUCCACAUCAGACAGCAAGACUCCAGAUUCUCAGAUACACGAACUUGAUCAUGGAAUUGCUUUAAUUGAAAGAGUAACGUUAAAGUCAAGGUAAGGUUUUGCAAAUGGAUUUCCUAAUUACAGAAGAGACGUUAAUCUCAAUUUCAUAAAGAAGAUACUAACUGUGUAAGUAGUCAUUUUCAAGGACGAGAAAUUAUUCCUGCCAGAGCUAUUUAAGUGAAUGGCCUCUAAUUCAUUUUUAAUAUCAUCAGUUUCAACUGAGGUGGCAUACCCGUCAUGAUCUAUAUAAGGGACUGCAAAUCACUGAUAGCACACCACACAUAUACAAAGAAAAUUAUAUUGAACCAUCAACGCUCAAGAAAAUCUUGCUCUCCUAAUCUUCACGAAGUUUUGGCUUAUAACCUGUGAUUCACUUUUGUUACUUACUAUUGCUAAUUCUUGCUUGUCUUAGAAGCACUUACGAUUACAUAAUCUUUUAAUCAUUGUUUGUUUAUUUCCUAAGUGACUCCUGCGGGUGCGUAGUCUGGUUGACUUGAGAGGACUAAGAGAUCUUUCUCUUAGACGUUGUUUGUAAUCUUUCAAGAUUAGUGGAUUAAGUCCUUGUUGAAGGCGAAAUCACCUCGGCCGGGUGGACUGGAGUAGCUUUGUGUUAUAAGAGAACCAGUAUAAAAUCAUUGUGUGGUUUUCAUUUUGAAAAAGCGCUUAUUUUUCCAAACAAUUCAAACCCCCCCUUUCUUGUUUUUCUCACCUUCAUACCCCUCGGUUCAAUACUACACAACUCCUGGUUCUAGGUUCUUCUCAAAGCUCGGGUACGAAGCUUAUCUUACAACAUGCAUCAAGCAUCAUAGACCACCCAAAUAGUAUCAGAAUAAAUCACAUAUAGCAUAAAUAAUACAGUAAGAUACAGAGAAGAAAUAUGGAAGAAAGAAACAAUGUUUUAAUAUUUAUAGAAAUUACACUAAAUUAGGCUUGACUCUCUCUAUAUUGGAGCAAAAAAAUCCUCAGCAGAGUCGCCAUCAGUCGCAUCUUGAAAAAUACGAUCCCUCGCGAUGGUCGUGGAAAAAUUUUAGUUCGAACAGAGUCGCCACCGAACUUUAUUUAUCCCAAUGAAGGAAUAGGAAAAUAUCGAUAAAACCUUUAGAAAAUAGAAUAAUGGUCGCUGCAGCCAUAUUCGGGUUCGGGAGUCGAUUACGCAAGGGGAAGGUAUUAGCAUCCCUCACGUCCGUUGUACUCAACGGGAACCUUUUAGUUUAAUUUAUGAUUUGAAUGUUAUCUAAUGUUGUUUAUUUUCUUUGAGUGAUAAAAAUAUUGAAAAGAGAUGGAUGGAAACCUCAUAAGGGGGAAAAGGAGGGUUUUUUUAUUAGUGUGCUCACCAAGAUAUCGCAAUCUCGUGCCUACAUAUCCUUAUGGUGCAAUAAGGAAAUCAGAGCAUUUGUAGUUCGGGGAACUACGGUUUGUUGGUGUCUUUUAAUGAACAACUGUUUAGAUCGCGUUCUAAAGGCUAAAUGUUGGCUUGUCUACUCUUCGGCGGAGGCUUAAGCACUAGUUUGUUGUGUGCGUCAGAAAGGAUUAAACAAUGUUCUUUCUGAAAAGAAUUAAGUUGUUAUUCGCAUGGGGGCGAGAAAUUUAGUUUAGUUUAUUUGGUUAUUUUUAGAAGAACGACAAAAUAUUGAGCAAUAUGGUGCACACCAAUCAUUCGAUUAUUUCGAGGAAUAACUAGGUGAACGCCUCCUAUUUCCUUUUUCGUUCAAAGGCUAUUUCCUUAAUGGUCGAAGAACUUCGAAGGCUAUUUUUGCAAAGGAACACAAAGAUGGAUUGAAUGUUGGACCGUCACUACAAAUGUUCAAUCUUGGUACAACAUGGUUCACGUCAAAACAACUCGGUUGUAGAAUCGUCUUUAAAUGCCACACUUAGGUGAAGGACCGGGAUGAAGGUCAUGGAUGCUUGAACAAGAAACGGGAAAGGGCUGUACAAAGUUUUGAUAGAUUGGAACUUGGGGCUUUGGAUCCAAAAAACUUCUUUUCUCUUUUGUAGUAUAUUUGAGUUCUAAGCUUCAAGCAUCUUUGUAUUUUCAUGAACUUGAAUCAAAACACUUGUUUUUCCUUUUGAAGAGAUGAUUUUUUGUAAUAUGUAUGCAGAUGAUGAUAAAUAUAUUGGUUAGAGUAUGAGUAAAUUCUAUAGAUGAUAAUUAUGAAAUAAAAAUGUAAAUGAAGUUGGCUUAACAAGAUUGCUACUUGUUAUGGACAUGUUGGAUUUAAAGCUGAGUAGAAGAAUCACUACACUUUCUGGACCGUAUUUCUCAUAACUUGAGCAGCACAAAUUAUUAUUCUUGUUUUUCAUUUGGAGUUGCUGCGUUUGUAGGUUGCCGUUAGAUUCACGUUUUGGCUCUUGCUUCCAGUUGACGUGCGUUGUAGCGUGUGGUCUUACAGCAGCUUGCAAUUCGCGCUGCAAUACUCUGCUUAAAGAGAUUCCUGCUGCAUUUCACCUCCUUUCUUCUUCUUCUUUUUUAACUGGUAUGGUUGCAGCAUCACCGGCAUUGUCGUUUGGUGCGUCGCAUUUGUGAGGUUGCAGUUUUGGUUUUUGGAUGUUUCAGCUGCAGCCCCAUGUCGUUUUGACUUUGUUUGCAGGUGUGUACAUAGAAGUUUUUAUUUUGCUGCUAUGUUGGCGUUUCAUGCUGCAGUUGUGGCUUUCUUCCACUUUCCAAUUGACCUUUUUUAAUUUAUCUGAUUUGGACAUGUACAUUAUUUUUUGGAUAUGUAAAAUGGACAAAGGUUAAUGGAGAAUUGGAUUAAUAAUGGUUCUAAAAAUGGAUAACUGGAUAUGGAAAUUGGAUUUAGCAAAAUGGGUUAUGAAAAUGGAUUAUGAAUAUUGGUGGAUAAUUGCAUUAUGAUGGAUAUAAAUGUACUUGAAUGUGGAUUAAUUGAAAAUUGGAUUUGAAUGGAUUGGAAUUGAAAUGGGCCCAAUAAAAAAUGUGGAAUGAGCUUAACAAAAAUGAAAUGAUUAAAUUUUCAAAACCAAUUCGACUUUUCAAGAAUCAAUUUGGAUCGUCCAACUCAACUUGAACUUCUAAAAUUAAUUCGGAAAAGAGCAAAAUGAUUUCCAAAACCAAAUUAAUUUUCAAAGAUCAAAUCUAACCUCAAAAUCAACUUAAAAUUCAAAAGUCAAUUUGAAGUUAAAAUGAAAACUAAGUUAUAAUUAAUCGGAACAAUUAAUAUGACAAGAUAACAAAAUGAUGACUGCAUAUGCAAUGGAUUGGUGAAUCCAAUUGACGCGACUUAUAAAUCAGAUCGAACCACAAUCAAAUGAAUGAACAAAUAUCGACCCAAUUAUGCACCGGAAACACCUGACCAAGAACCAAACGGCUAACCAAGAAUAGUCAUGGAUCAGGACUCAGAUGAGAUAUAAACCACAUGGACACCUGAUUAACAAAACAUGUGGCAAGUCCUGGUGAUCAAGGCAUGAUCAAGCUUGAUCAAAUGCCUCAAAACUAAGCAGUUUCCCACACCAAUGAAAUUAUCCACCAAUGUUAUAAACCAAAGGAUUGGGGUUUGAUUUCCUGAUCCUCCUAAAAUUAUGGAUGAACCAAAAUAUCUACCAGGUUCCAGCAUAAGAUCUUGAAUCCAAGUCACUUGUCUCCUUGUGUUGAACCAUGCUUAUGCAGAUGAGAUACAUGCUUAUGAUGGUAUGCAAAUGAUUAAUUUUAGUGGCCUAUAUGAUUAUGUGAAGGGUAGGGCGCAUUAAAUGAAAUUAAGGUUAGAAGGUCUCAUAAUGAAUGUUAUAUCUAAUUAGGAUUUAUGGAGCCUUGAUCCAGUAAGGACCCCCAGAUUGGGGUUUUUCUACCUUAUUGAACAUAAGUUAGGGCAAUAACAACAAAAACCCUAAUUUCCUCCUCCAGUAAGAUCUCCAUGUUUUAAGUCUGUGCAUCAUGCUUUAAGGUUAUAAACACCAAUGAAAGCUUCAAACAGCCCGGACAAAAUUGGGGUAUGACAUUAGAGAACCCAACUAAAAUAAAUGGAUUGGUAGAGUAAUUGUAUAUUGUAUUAGAGAUUCCUUAAAUUUUCACACCGUUAACGAUAAUGUUAAUAAUAGAAUUUCCUCACUUCAUUUAUACCAUAACAUUGUAAAAGAAAUUGGAAUUAAUGUCAUUUUUCUUAAACGUAAUCAUAGACAUUCUUUUCUCCAAGAUUGAAAUACUAUAAUUCUAGCACAUGAAACCUCUCAUUAGCCUCUUUAAUUUUCCCCUUCACAUUUUCUCCAAGAUUGAAUAUCAUUAUUUUUCCCGUGAUUGAUAUGUCAUUCUCUCAACAUACCCGUUCAAAUUCUUGGAUAUUUCUUCCAACAAUUAACACACAUCCCCUUGGUUGCGAAGCUUAACCAACAUUUCAAGAUGUGAAGUGGUUGAGAACCGCAACUAAUAUCGUCAACACUUAAAAUGAUCGGGAAAUAAUAUGAAAUCCCUUUAACUAGAUCCAAAUGAAUAGAAUUAGGUCAUACAUUACACCACUCAACUGAUAACAAAAUCCUAUCAAAUAUGCUCAUAGAGGACGAUUAGUCAAUUCAGCACUAUCAACGAACAAAUUAAAUUCAUACAUAUCUUCCCAUCUUACAAAUUAUCUCCUUCCACACACAUAAAUUUUAACCUCUUUAAAUAUUGAUAAAUUUUCCUAGUUGAUUAUAAAAAACAUAUUUUCCUCACCUAUCUGUAGCGGUAAAUUCAUCAUCAUCAAGCUAUGGAUAAGCAAGACAUCAAUAAAACCAGAGUCGCCACCGCGCUUUUAUUGUUUCCAAGGGAAAAGGGAAAAGUACGAACAAAACCCAAAAAUAAGAAGUUUUCAAAUCAAAACUAAUAAAAUUCCAGAGAUCCGCGCUUUUAUUGUUUCCAAGGGAAAAGGGAAAAGUACGAACAAAACCCAAAAAUAAGAAGUUUUCAAAUCAAAACUAAUAAAAUUCCAGAGAUUACAGGUAAGGGGGUUGGUUACACAGAGGGAAUGUGUUAGCACCCAAAGUGUCUUAGGUACUCCUAGGGAGCCCUUUAUUGUGUGCAUAUGUAUUUUGUACAAAAUGAUGUUUAAAAACAAAUAGAAUGGGGGGAUGAGAAAAGAAUUCAUUAAUUAUAUUUUUGUGUUUGAAAAGACCUUCGUACUUAUGCCUACGUACCAACAUAAAAUGAGGGAUCAAAACCUCGUAGUUCGUGGUAUAAAUUUCAAAGUGGAUGCAUUGCUUUUAACAAAAUUAAGUUUGAAAGACACAAAGGUCUAAAAAUGGUCUGAAUGAGUUAGUUCUUUUUGGACUUUUUUUUAAACUUUAAGUCAAGUAUGAUUAAGUUUAUUUACAAAUUUGAUUAAGAAAAGAAGUUUAAAAAUGCAAUGGCAUAAGGCCAAAGUUUCUAGUUUGCAAUAUAGUCUAAGUUUAGAAAAAACAGACACAAGCAAAGAAGUUUUUAAAAGGAGGAAGAGAUUUUGAAAUUAAAGAAGUGGGGAAGAGAUGAAGAGACUAAUCCUAAGCACAAAUUUAAAAGUUGAGAGUUGAAAAGAUCUGACCAAUGGGUUGCAAUCCAAUAGACAAGAAUGUCAUAUAGAUAAAUUAAAGAAGUGGGGAAGAGAUGAAGAGACUAAUCCUAAGCACAAAUUUAAAAGUUGAGAGUUGAAAAGAUCUGACCAAUGGGUUGCAAUCCAAUAGACAAGAAUGUCAUAUAGAAACCCAAAUUCCCUUGGACAUUAGGAUCAAGCAACAAACAAUGCAUAAUAUACAUAUCAACUUUAAGAACAAGGCAUCAAAUAAAGAUAGUCACAUCCAAGCUUAGCAACUCCAUGAUCUUCUUCAAAUUUGCCCAUGUAGCAGAUGAAUUUCACAAGUCACAGGUUCAAAAUAACAACUUCAUAAUGAUCAUGUUUCAGAUGAACUCAAAUAGAUCUUCAAUGAUGUAUCAGAUGAAGUUUCAAAUUGCACGCACUUGGUUACAUGAAAGUUGGCAUUGGCCAAGUCCUUUGCAUAGGGAAUGUUACCUAAGUUUUAAUUCCAAUUGUCUCAGAUCAAACCAACAGUCCGCACAAGAUAUUUUUUAUGGUUUUUGUUCUUACUAUGUACAUUAAUGGUCAAAGACCACACAAGCAAACAAAAUAUACACAAACAAGAUAUGUCACACAAUAUGGUCCAAAUGGACAAAAUGAAAAUGGCAUUAACAUAAACAAUUAGAAUGGUUUGAAUAAUGGCAAAUGAAUAAAGUUUAAAAAUAAAGUACAUUAAAGUAAAUGACUUGGAAUUAAAUGUUAGUUGUUAAUAAGUUAGAAGUUAGUAUUUCUUUUGCUUUUGCUUUUUAUUUUAAGUCAUUCUUUGGAGAACACUCAAUCCACUUAUCACAAGUAUGGAUCCUUGAAUCAAGACAUCUUCCAAGAGAAGGAAAGAAGGCCAAGUUUCCACACAAUACCAUGAAAGAGGGGAGAUUUACAAUCUCACUAACUAGGAUGUUAUGCCUUUUGUGUCAAAAAUUUAGCGUUAUGUUAAGAAAUCGUAAUUAGACUUAUGUAGAAGUCACAACUAUUUGAGGUCGGACAAUAGAAUUUUGGUGUUAAUGCAUGUUAGAGACAUAGUAUAAUGGGCUAUGCUCAUGAAACAUACCACACACAAAAGAAUAUACAAAAAGUGGUGGCCUAAUCUCAUCCGUGCUUAUGUUGAUUAUGCAAUCAACUAGCCUUGGUGAAAUUCUGAUAUCAGAUAUGAGAUGUCGAAGGUAAUGUCACGACACUAAUAUCUGAGUAAAACAAGCAGGAUAAAGAUAAAGAAUAGUAAUGCAAGAGACACAAGCAAUUGUUAACCUAGUUCGGUGCAACUCACCUACGUCUGGGGGCUACAAAGCCAGGAAGGAAAUCCACUAAAUAGAAUCAAUUCAAAGACUCUCAGUACACUUCAAUAAGUUACAGUCUUACUCACCUAAUCUCUACCCGUGUGAUUUCUACCUAAGCACUCUUAGAUAUGAGAACCCACUCAUUCCCCCUCAAUCACACCUGUGAUUUUAAACAACAAUUCCUUAUGAAAAGAAGACACUCUUCAAUAACACACACUUGAUCUUACUUAGCAGUUUCAAUCAAGUAGACACACACUUGAUCUUACUUAACAGCUUCAAUCAAGUAGAUACACACUUGAUCUUGCUUAACAGCUUCAAACAAGUAGACACACACUCUUGCUUGCAAGCUUAGAGUGACAAAUUACAACUCACAAAUCAGACCAAUUCAAUCAUCUAUGGAUGAAUUGAAUGGCUUACAAGUCUCACGACUAGACAAGACACAAAACCUUAUAGUCUCUCAAUAUUUCGCUCAGUAUUGGUUGUGUAUCAAAUCAGGUUUUCCAUGUCCUGUUUAUAGAAGCAUUCAGCUGGGCUUGGACAUCUUGAAAACCCUUAAACUAUUUUCCAAUUAAAUCUUCUCAUGACAGUUGGAUAGAUCUCCUUGGAAAAUAAGUAAAUCAGGUUGUAAUUAAUGAUUGAAUGCGCCUGCAAAUCAGAUCUUCAAUCAUACAUAGAUUGUCAUUAAAUGCGCAAUCACAAAACACAUAACAUUCACCCUGAAUGUUCUGUGUACAGGAUGUCAUGACAUCGUGUCUGACAUCCUGGAAGAAUCCUGCAUAAUUCCAUUUAUGAUUUCCAGCAGGUACAUAAUAUAAGAUGCCAUGACAUUGUGUAUGACAUCCUGAAACAAUCCUGCAUAAUUAUAUUUUCAAACUCCAGCAGGUACAUAGAUAUCUUAUGUUAAGACAUCGCAUGCAACAUCUUGUGAACACUCUUUGUUUUACCAAAAUUGUUGUCAACACUUAGAACCAACAAACUCCCCCUUUGGCAAAUUUUGGCUAAAACAUAUAUUUGUCCUUUUUGUUCACAAGAAAAACUAUCAGCAGUUAAAUAACAGUUUAAGCAGCAGCAGAAGCAAACAGAAUUACUAGUUAUAGAAGCAACUAGUAAAACACACAAAUGCACAAGGGUACUUCUUCUCCCCCUAAGUCUGUGCAACACAGACAUCUCCUUUAACAACAACAACAUCUGUAAUAACCAGAGUCACCCUCUGACAUCUGCUUCAACAUCACAUGUGCACCACAUCAGACAUCUCCUCCAACAUCUGUAAAUAGAACAUCAUUUUGUCUUACACCAAACACAUCUCCUUCAAAAAUAGUUGUUCAUCUGUUCACUACACCAGCACAUACAUCUCCACACAGCUCCACAUAUUUAACUGCUCCACAUAAUCACUUCUCCCCCUUUUUAGUCAAAAUUGACCAAAGGUGACCAAUUAGACAAAAUAAAUGUCAAUUAGCCUAGCAGAGAAUGUCACAGCAGAUGUUAUAACAUUUAAAAUGUUAAAACAUAAUUGUUAUUGACCAAAGGUGACCAAUUAGACAAAAUAAAUGUCAAUUAGCCUAGCAGAGAAUGUCACAGCAGAUGUUAUAACAUUUAAAAUGUUAAAACAUAAUUGUUAGGAGAUACAAACCAUAAUUAUACACAGCUGUAAUAGCUGAGAUAAUUAGAAAUUCAUGGAACUCAUCAAGAGCCCAAAUAUUACAACAAGGCAUCAGUAAGGACUGCCACAAAUUACAAACAUUCCAAAAAAACAAUAAACCAUCCAAGCUUCCAAAGCAGCCAAAACAACAGGGGGACCAGUCUUCAUAACAGGGCACAGAACAGCCAAACUAACCCAAUCUUCAUCACAGCACACACAGUCUUCAUAUCAGGGGGAACUAUUACCACUUAAUCUGAGGAAUUAGCAUCAUUUUCACCUUCAGAAUCACAGCUGCCACUAGAUUGAGCAUUGGACCUCUCACUUGAGGUAUUGGCAUCUGAAUCCUUGGUCUCACCAGCCUUCCCCAUCUCUUCCUUCUCUAAGCUACUAAUAAGAACCUCCAAAGCCUCUUUAUUUUCCUUGGCAACCCUAAUACCAGUAUCCAGCUCCUUACAAGUUUCCUUUAAUUGAUCAAUCAAGCUACCUUGAGAGGCAGGCUCCUUCCUUGCAGAUGUCAUGACAACAUCAUUGGCAUGGCUUCCUUCAAAUAACUUGUAGUGAAUGGAUAGUGGAGGCUUUCUUCUGCUGGGAAUAUCACUUGUAUUGAGAAUGCCUGGUUUCUGGCUCAAGAUAAUUCCACAAAUGAUAGAUGGAAAGGCAAUGGGCAGCUUUACUGCAUUAGUGGAGGCAUGUCUGGCAAUUUGAUCAAACAUAAACCUUCCAAAGUCAAAGUUUAUCCUGGUUCCAAUAGCAUAAAUGAUUCUUCCAAGACCAAUAGAGAUGGUUGAGAUAUGAUUAGUUGUCACCCAGUUGGCUGAACCAAUCUUAUGCAAGAUGACAUAUUUGACAGUUAGCUUGCCUGCUGAUAAAUGCUUCUUACUAGGCCACUCCUUAACUUGGCCAGCAGUAAUAGUCCUACAGACUUCAUUGUCUAUAGCCUCUAACUCCACACCUCCUUCAGUUCCUCUCCCUAGGAACUUGUUGAUUAUGGUUGGGGAGAACCUCACACAUUUGCCUCUUACAAAGACCUUGCAGAAUUCCUUGCUACUCUUUUCAGAAAUAUCCUCUGGGAUAUUCACAACAAACUCCUUCACUAACCCCUCAAAACAUUGGGGCAAAGCAACAAAAGUUUUCAUAAGUCCAACAUUCUUGAUCAAAUCCAUCACUUCCUUCACUUCUACAGCCUCCUUUCCCAACUCCCUUUCAACAGCAACCCUCCUUUGGAUGACAAACUUCCACUUGGCAGCACCAUCUUCUAGAUGGAAAGAGAUGUUAUCUAAGUGCACAGCUGCAACUUUGCCUGGAGACUUCUUGACAGUCUGUCUUUUAGCAGGAGAGAUGUCUGGGACAUCGUCUUCGACAUCAUCAUUAGAUUCAGAACUCUCUCUGACCUUCCUCUUCUUAACCUCAACUUUACUCCAAGAUUUGGAGGGUCCUACACCAACAGUCUUCUUCCUAGUUCUGGCUGUCAUCAUUUCAGCCACAGUCUUCCCUUUUCUGGUCUUCAAUUUCCUAGCAGCACUUGGUUUUACAUGAUGAACCAAGGUGUCCUCUUCUUCUUCUGAACUCUCUUCCUCCAGAUUAAUAACAUUCUCAGCAGUCUCAUGAGAAGCAUCUGUUGGUUUCUUACUAGGCAAGGUUUUACCUAGAGAGCAUAAUCCCUUAGCAGCCCCUUCUUUCUCUGAUCUAGAUGAUUUCUUACUAGGCAAGGUUUUACCUAGAGAGCAUAAUCCCUUAGCAGCCCCUUCUUUCUCUGAUCUAGAUGAAUCAUCAUCUUUCUCAGUUUGGGGUUCCACCUCAGGAGAGGGGUCCCUUCUAGACAUAGGGGUAGAAACACCCUUGACUACAUGCCCUUCGUUUAGAAUCCUAGUUACUAGGUUCCUAAUGGUAUGAUAUGUAAAGUCAUGUCAUCUUUAUGAGGAGAUUUUUCAGGAAUGUUACCUUGAUUACUUCCAGUUGUGGAAGAAGGGCCAGGAACGUCGCCUGGAAUAACAGAGAGGGGAAUAACCUCCAGAAUAUCUUCAUCCAGAAACUCCAUGGAGGGAGUCCUUCCUUUGUGAGUGGGUUUUGAUCCUGAUGAUGAGGGAUGUUGUGACAUUUUAUUGGACUUUUGAAAGAAAUCUCUUUGCCCUAGCAGAGGUUUUCUGAGAAGUUGGAUGAAGAUGGAAAUGGUAGUGUUGAGGUAGCGUGUAGAAAUGGCAUAGAUACUAGUUCCAAUACUAGGUAAUGAUUUAUCAUUAAUGUGGCUCUUUCUUUUAAGUGGGCAGAUAAUAUUUUUAUUACCUUUUCCACUCCACUUUAAUUGCUAUAACUUCACAAGAAUCCAAAUCCCCAAUUUCCCUUUUAAAUAUUCAAACUGAUUAUCAUCCAAAAUCCUUGCAAAUUUGUCAGCUAAUUGCAUUUCAUGCUUUAGAGCUAUGAAUUUGUCUUCCACAAAUUCUCUAAUGGAGUGAUGACAAAAAUCAAUGUGCUUGGUCCAACUGUGUUGGCUAGGAUUUUUGGACAUAGUUGUAGCACUCGGGUUGUCAUAGUACAAUGUCAUGACAUCGUAUGUGACAUUGUAUUCAGUCAACAGUAGUUUCAACCAACCCUGUUGAGAACAGCUACUACCAGCUGCUAUAUAUUCAGCACAAACACCAUUUUCAUCUUUCAACUGUGUAGGAUAAGGUGUCCUUUCACUCUCCAUCCCAAUCUUCUUAACAUUGUUCUUGGCAUUUUUGCUUUGAGAUAGACACAUAGACCCUUCUAUCUGCUUGACUUGUAGCCCAAGUCCAACAACGCUCUUUCCAACUUCAGACUGCAUAUGACUAGCAAAAUUUUCAACCAUCUGAUCCAACCUCCUAUCUAUUUUAGCCAUCAUGAGCUUUUCUCCUUUGGAAGGGAUGUUAAGUCUGAGUUUCUGGUGUGACAUCCUUGUCUGACAUUUCCCACAGACUUGUCUUUCAUCAAUCUUGGGAGUUCCUCUAGCAGAUAUAAUCAUCUUCAUUUCUUUGACUAAGGUACACUUUGAGGAAUAUCCAAUUUGAGAGCUCCACAUGUAACAGUUGUCUUUGGUCCUGACUCCUUUCAUGAUCACUUCACUUUCUUUUUUAGUGAUCAGACAUUCAGUUUUAGUGAAGUUAACAUUUAGACCUUGGUCACAUAGUUGACUGAUGCUUAUUAGAUUUGCAGUCAAGCCCUUAACAAGUAGGACCUUGUCAAGUUCAGGAACUCCAAGGCACUCAAGCUUACCUAUCCCCUUGAUUUCACCCUUUGAUCCAUCACCAAAGGUUACAUAGCUUAUGGCAUGAGGAUGAAGGCCAGUUAGUAGGUCUUUGUUUCUAGUCAUGUGUCUGGAGCACCCACUGUCAAAGUACCAAUCUUCUUUGGCUGAAACUCUGAAGGGAGUGUGAGCUAUUAGACUUGUAACAUUAGUCUUAGGAACCCAUGGCUUCUUGUUGACAGAUCUGUGAUGUUUGGGUCUUGGUUGAUAGUGAGUUUGAUGAUGAACAGGGCUAGGAUAACCAUACAGCUUAUAGCAGAAGGGCUUUAGGUGGCCAAAUUUCCCACAAUAAUGGCAUCUCCAUCUUUGGUGUUUCCCUUUCUACUGUCUUCCCUUCUGAUGUUGUGACAUAUGAUGUGACAUCUCAGGUUUGCUUUUAAUAUGGCUGCACUUAGGUUUGGAUUUAGGUUUACAACCAGUGUAACUGCACUCAGGCUUAUAUUCAUUAUACCCAAUGCCAGAUUUGUCUCCUGUUAUUUGUCCAGUUUGGAGAAUCUUGUCCAAGGAGUCAGAUCCAUUGUUUAACAUUCUUACAUACUUGGUCAUCUCUUCUAGUUUAGAGUUCAAGAACAUAGCUUCAGUUUUUAACUUGGAGAUGGUUUCCACAUGUUUUUCCUUCUCAUUCUCCAGCUGUACUAUCACUUUCUUCUGGCUUUCAACUUGUUGACUUUCAUCUAGCUUGGCAUUCAGAACCACUGCUUCUGUUUUUAAUUUGGAGAUGGUUUCCAAGUGUUCUACCUUUUCCAGCUGUACUAUCACUUUCUUCUGGCUUUCAACUUGUUGACUUUCAUCUAGCUUGGCAUUCAGAACCACUGCUUCUGUUUUUAAUUUGGAGAUGGUUUCCAAGUGUUCUACCUUCUCAUUCUCAAAUUGAGUUAUUACCUUCUUCUGGCUUUCAACAUGUUUACACACCUCUGCACUUUUGUGACACAACUUUCUGUAGGUAGUGGCCAACUCUUCAAAGGUUACUUCAUCAUUACUUAAGUCUUCAUCAGAACCCCAUCUUCCAGUCAAGGCAGUCACUAGAUUUGCAGAUUCUUCUGUUUCACUCUCAUCAGACCAAGUGGUAGCAAGACUCAUCUUCUGCUUCUUGAGGUAGGUCCCACAUUCAGUUCUAAUGUGUCCAUACCCAUCACAUUCAUAGCACUGUACUUAUUUUCCUUCUUUGGGCUUAUCAUCUGACCUUGUUCUUCUUCUAGCAUUGUUGGAUUUACUGAUGUCAGAUGAGAUGUUCUUGACAUUAGCCUUAGAUCUUACAUCCAUCUUUUUCAACAGUCUGUUGAACUGUCUUCCCAGCAUUGCUACAUCUUUGUUCUUCUUCUAGCAUUGUUGGAUUUACUGAUGUCAGAUGAGAUGUUCUUGACAUUAGCCUUAGAUCUUACAUCCAUCUUUUUCAACAGUCUGUUGAACUGUCUUCCCAGCAUUGCUACAUCAUUGGCCAGAUCUUCAUCAACAUCCUGACUAUUUUCCUCCUCUGUGUUUGACAUGAAGGCCAUGCUUUUAGUUUUCUUUUCAGAACCAUCAUUCAUUCCCAUCUCAAAUGUUUGGAGGGAACCAAUUAUCUCAUCAACUCUCAUAUUGGAGAUGUCUUGAGACUCUUCUAUGGCUGUCACAUUCAUAGCAAAUCUCUUAGGGAGUGACCUGGGUAUUUUUCUUACUAAUUUUUCAUCUGACAUCUUCUCUCCCAGGGCUCCUGAGGCAUUAGCAAUUUCAAGAAUACUCAUAUGAAAUUCAUGAGUAUUUUCAUCUUCUUUCAUCCUUAAAUUUUCAAACUUGGAGGUGAGCAGCUGUAGUAUAGACAUUUUAACUCUAGAGGUGCCUUCAUGAGUAGUUUUGAGAAUGUCCCAAGCAUCUUUAGCCACCUCAUAGUUGUUUACCAACCUAAAGAUAUUCUUGUCUACUCCAUUGAAUAUGGCAUUCAAUGCUUUAGAAUUUCCAAGGGCUAGAUCAUCCUCCUCCUUGGACCAUUGUUCUUCAGGCUUCUUGUCAGUUGUUUCCUUAGUAAUUACUGGAUGUACCCAGCUUGUUAACACAGCCUUCCAAGCCUUAUUAUCCAGAGAUUUUAAGAAAGCUACCAUUCGAGGUUUCCAAUAGUCAUAGUUAGAUCCAUCCAAAAUUGGUGUCCUGUGAACAGAUCCUCCAUCUCUCUCCAUUGUACCAGAAAGUAUUGUCCGUAGAUCUCACCCAGAACGAUAGCAGGAUGCCUGCUCUGAUACCAAUUGAAAUUCUGGUAUCAGAUAUGAUAUGUCGAAGGUAAUGUCACGACACUAAUAUUUGAGUAAAACAAGCAGGAUAAAGAUAAAGAAUAGUAAUGCAAGAGACACAAGCAAUUGUUAACCCAGUUCGGUGCAACUCACCUACGUUUGGGGGCUACCAAGCCAGGAAGAAAAUCCACUAAAUAGAAUCAGUUCAAAGACUCUCAGUACACUUCAACAAGUUACAGUCUUUCUCACCUAAUCUCUACCCGUGUGAUUUCUACCUAAGCACUCUUAGAUAUGAGAACCCACUCACUCCCCCUCAAUCACACCUGUGAUUUUAAACAAUAAUUCCUUAUGAAAAGAAGACACUCUUCAAUAACACACACUUGAUCUUACUUAGCAGUUUCAAUCAAGUAGACACACACUUGAUCUUGCUUAACAGCUUCAUUCAAGUAGACACACACUUGAUCUUGCUUAACAGCUUCAAUCAAGUAGACACACACUCUUGCUUACAACCUUAGAGGGAGAAAUUACAACUCACAAAUCAAACCAAUUCAAUUAUCUAUGGAUGAAUUGAAUGGCUUACAAGUCUCACGAAUAAAAAAGACACAAACCCUUAUAUUCUCUCAAUAUUUCGCUCAGUAUUGGUUGUGUAUCAAAUCAGGUUUUCCAUGUCCUAUUUAUAGAAGCAUUCAGUUGGGCUUAGAUAUCUUGAAAACCCUAAAACUAUUUUCCAAUUAAAUCUUCUCAUAACAGUUGGUUAGAUCUCCUUAGAAAAUAAGUAAAUCAGGUUGUAAUUAAUGAUUGAAUGUGCCUGCAAAUCAGAUCUUCAAUCAUACAUAGAUUUCCAUUAAAUGCGCAAUCACAAAACACAUAACAUUCACCCUGAAUGUUCUGUGUACAGGAUAUCAUGACAUCGGGUCUGACAUCCUGGAACAAUCCUGCAUAAUUCCAUUUAUAAUUUCCAGCAGGUACAUAAUAUCAGAUGCCAUGACAUUGUGUAUGACAUCCUGAAACAAUCCUGCAUAAUUAUAUUGUCUGACAUCCUGGAACAAUCCUGCAUAAUUCCAUUUAUAAUUUCCAGCAGGUACAUAAUAUCAGAUGCCAUGACAUUGUGUAUGACAUCCUGAAACAAUCCUGCAUAAUUAUAUUUUCAAACUCCAACAGGUACAUAGAUAUCUUAUGUUAAGACAUCGCAUGCAACAUCUUGUGAACACUCUUUGUUUUACCAAAAUUGCUGCCAACACUUAGAACCAAUACUUAGGAUAUAGAGAUAUCAUAGGUUAAUGAAAUGGAUGCAUAAAGAAGGCAAAUGAGAUGAAGAGGGAGGGGAGAUGGAUCAAACUCAAAUUGGACAAAGGAGGACAUUUAUCAAAUUAAUAUCAUUGAUUCAUUUUGAGAGAUGGAAUGUACAUUCCAUCAAUCCCUUAAAUCCAAUGAUCUUAACCUAGCAAAGUCAAAUCAACCUUGACCAAGGCCCAACAACACAAGUCAAACUUACAAAGACCAUCAAAAUGGCUCAACACAAUUAUUUGGCAUUUAUUCAAUUUAAAAAUACUAAAAACUAAUGCAUUAUAUUAAAUAUGGUUUGUCAAAAUCCUAAAACCUCAUCAAAACACCAAAGAAUGAGCAUGAGAUUUAUCAUAGGUCAAACAAGGUCAAAGGACCUUGGAGAAAAAAAUUCAGAAUUUUUGGAAACUUAAAGUGUUUUUAAACAAUUAAAACUAAUCACAAAAUCAAUUAAAUCAUGAAAAAUAUUAAUAAUGAUCCAAAAAAUAAUUUUAAUUCAGAAUAUAAAAGAGGAUUUUAUUUAAAAAAUAAUUGGUGAAACUCUCAUAUUUUUUGGAUCAAUGUUAAAAUUAAUAUGAAUUAAUGAAAAUCAACGGAAUAAAAUGAAAAUCAUAAAAUACAAAAAGACGUGGACCACUUGAUCUCCCUCAUUAAUUGAGGUGGCAGAUCAAGUGGCCACAAGUGGGCUUUCUACCAUAGUCACUAGUCAACGCGUAACACAAGUGGUAAUUACAAGUAACGCAUGAGAUUAAAACAAUUUGAAUUGAUCAUGUGACUCUGAACCAUGCCAACACAUCAUCGGCGCUAAACCUCCGGUCACCUUCUUAGGCGAACCUCGUCGGACUGGUUCAGUCAUCACCAUCACAUAAAUGAAAAAGGAGGACAUGAUCUGAAAGAAAAAAUGGCGUAGAGCACGAAUCUGACCUCAAUUUUAACUAACUCCAAAUAUAUUGAAAGAUAUGAGGAGUUGAAUUUUGAGGUGUGUCAACUGAGUUGCUUCGAUUUGACCUCAAAGCAACUCAAUCUUCUUGCCUACAUUGGUAGGACUUCAGACAACCAAAGAUCCAAGAGAAUUGAUGUAGAAUUGAGUGAGAAUCCAAGAGAAGAAAAAUUCUGGAAAAUACCUUCAAUGUUGUGCUGAACUUGCUCUUGCUUGCUUCAAUUCUUGUUUGAUCUUGCUCCAAUUCCUUGUAGAAGUGGAUUAGGAAUGGAAAGAAGCUUUGGAUCCUGGAGUUUUUGAAUCUCCAAACAGUGAGAUUCAAACUCAAUUUUCAAGUGAAAAUUAUCAGGUUUUCCUUUGAAUUAUGAGGGUUUGAAGAGAGGGGGCAAAGUUGGCGCGCAAAGGUCCUCUCAAAUGAGCUCAGAGGGCAUAUAUUUAUAGCAUUUGGAAGUGUUAAUUGCACACUUCAAGUUUCUUCCAAAUUUGGCAAUGUCAUGCACAAGCUUGCAUGGGCGUGUACAGGGCCAUGAAGCAACCCAAUUGGGUCCAAAUGCAUCUGAAAUGAGAUUGAAAUAAAGCUUGAAUGGCAAGGCAAUGUAAUAUGACCAUUUGAACAUUUGAUUUUUCCACUUGAUGCAGGACUGUUAAAACCAUGUGCAACCCUAGCAAACCUUGUCCAAAUUAAUGAAAUAGGACUCUUUGGAAAGCUUAGAUCAAGAGGAACAAUUUUUAUGUUGAACACCUUUCCAUUUGGAACUUGGAUCAAGGUUAAUUUUGAGGUGGAAGUUUGGAAAUUUCAACAUGUUGAAAAAUUUUCUAAGUGUCAAGUCAUAUACUUCAAUAUUCCGCCUUGCUUAACUUUUCAUGUGAUCUCCAUAUGAGAAAAGUGUCUUCAUAAAAGUUGUAGAUAUUUCAAAGACCUUCAAAAUGGUCACAAAUUUCACAUCAUUUGGAUUUAUAAUGAUAGAGUAAUUCAUUUUUGAAGUUGAGGAAAAUCACUUGUUCAAUGGUAUUGGUCCAAAAUGACCUAUAAUGUAUCCUCAUAUCACAUGCUCAUAAAAGUUGAUUUAGAUUUCACUCCAAACAUAAAAGUUAAAGUAGACCUCUUGAAUUUCAUUGUGCAACUUGGAAAUAUUUUCAUCUCAUAAAAAUUGAGCAAGUUAUGGCCUUGUGAAGUUGACUUUCAAAUUAAGGUUUAGACAAAAUGACCUAUAAUGUUUCAACAUAGAAAAUGAUUUUCCAAGCAAAAAUAGCUCUAGGUCUCAACAUGAAAGUUUGUUGGAAUGUUAUUUAGAGUAACUUUUCUCUUGAAAUCAUUUUUCAUAUGGUGAAAAUUGUAGGAGAUAGGGUCUAAGGAGACCUAGUUUUGAUCAGAUGAAUUCAUCUGGCCAACCACCAUCAACUAACUUGCUAACUUUCAAUUAUCUUGACUUUUUAGGCUCAUGGUAGAUCAUAUAUGCAUAAUAUGAUGAAUUUUGAAGUGUCCCUUGAGAAAUUUGAUCAAUUGGUGAGGAAACUUGUUGAAGAAGUUACUCAGGAUACCCAGACAAACUAGGGUUUCCAAUGCCAACCAACUCCAAACUCUUGAAGAAUACUUGAUCAAUAUAACAUGUAGAGAUCAUUGGGACUCAUAUAUGAUGCUUAGAGACAUUGUGGAUUAAUCCUUGGUUGUGGUGUUAGCCAUGAGGGCCUUAAACCCUAGAUAUGAACUUGAUAGAUCAAUGGGAAUCAUGCCUUACCUACAAAAGAGUUAGGCAAAUACAAAGACAUGUUUUUUGGUAUUUUGGAUAGUAAAAAGAUAAUAUAAAAGUAUGAUACAAUCACAUAGUGCUUGGUGAUCUCUCCCAAAACAAACCCAAUGAGAGAGGGGUAAGGAGGAUGCCAAGGUGUGAUCUCAAUGCCAAUGCAUAUGAUGAGAUAGCAUGAGGGAUCUUAGGGUCAAAAUUGGGGUCUUACACUAUCACAAGGAACAUAAAUAUUAGUCAUGCUAGAACCUAUUAUAUUCCUAGAGAAAAUCUCAUUAUUGCUAAACGUGUGGUUAAAACUCGAAGAAAACACCACACUCGAAAAGAGUAUCACACAUAUUUAGGAUACAACCCUAAAACCUUGGGAUGGAAAAAUGGGCCAUGGCCCGCCAGGACAGCCCGGGUACCCAUCCAAAAAUUGGCAGGUUAGGUUGGGAUUUUGUGUCCGCCUAUCCACUCAGUUCGUCCUGCUUUAAGCCCGCCCUGCCUUAAGCCAGCCAAAAAAAAGGGGUAGGUUGGCCCGCCAACCUAGUUAUCUGUCGUACCCAAAGUUUUCCCUCCCCUUUUCCACUUUUUCACUCAACGUGUGAAUUAAGAUUCAUUUAUUUCAUUCAUGCUUCAUAUGCAUCAUGCAUUCAUGUUAACGCAAGCAUCAACAGAUUCAAAACAUUGAUGGUUAUUUCAAAUUAAGGCUUUGCUUGAGUAUUGAAGUGUGGCUUAUCAUAUGAGUAGAAACCCUAAUUCCAUGCCUUUUGGGGUCUUGAUUUACGGAGUUCACAUCAUGACUUUCAUUCCUAACCCUAAUUCUUAACUAUGCUCCUUUGGGAUCUUGUACUAGACCUUCUGUGCAUUGACUUGGCAUUUGAACCCUAAUUGUGGGCCCAUGGUUUGAGAUGUUACUUGUGGAGCUUUGUGCUCUGUUUAAAACCCUAAUCCUUGGGAUUAAACAUGGAUUGUAUCGUAUAUGUGUGCUUGUUGAUCCAUUUGGUUCAAGGCCUCAUGCUAUUUAUGUUGAUUCAUCGCAUAUUACUUCAAAAUACAUAGCCAUGACCUUUUCAAUCUAUUCUGAAGUCACGUAUUACUUCAAACCAAUCAUUAAAUCCUCUUCAAUUUCUAACCAUGUGAAAACACAAUCCAAUCCCAAAUAUUUUCAAGUCACAACUACAUGUGUGAUUCCAUUACAACAAAUUACACAAGUUCCAUUUAAAAGUCCUUAGAAAUCUCAAUUACAAUUCAACCACCAAUCUACAAUAUCCAACCAAAUUUCAACUACAAUUAAGUCAUACAAAGCCAAUUCACAUUUCAACUAUAAAAAGUUACAAAUUCAGCCUAAAUACAAAUACAUUAACUCCAUUCUAUACAUCAUAUUCCAUACAUGAUAAAAGUUUAGCAUCUAACCACCUGCGAUUUCCACCAAGCCAACAAUCAUUUGCUAUAUGACAAAAAACAUGGACCAAGAUCCUGAGUCAAUAUUUCAUUAAAGUUAUGUCUAUCACCCAAAGAACAUGUUCAUUUCAGGAUGGUAUAGUAGUCGGAACGCUUUCUCAUGCGGAUGAUUUUGAUAUAAAUUAGUGGCAUUGUAACUCAUGAUUCUUUGGAGGUCAUUGGACAACGUUUCCCUCUAAUGAUAUCAGUAUUUGCUCAGUAUGCAAGUAUUAUUUCUUAAGGAUGCUUGCUAACAUUGGUAGUAGACAACAUGGUAUUGCAAUGCAGAUCGGUUGAAACUCGAUUGCUGACACUGUUCGGAGAGAAGCUUCACCCCCUCAUUCCUACAAACAUCAAUAUGUACAAAAUUGAAUUAAAUUAAUCAAGUUGAUAUUUGGAGAUACCGAGGAUGAGAGCCUACCAGCGCAAAGUAUUUUCAUCCAUAGAUCAAAUAGAAUAUCUUAUUGCAAGCAUGACCGACGUACAGAAUUGAGUCAGGAGUCUUGAGAUAGUCGUGAGAUGCUUGUUUACAAUAAUGAUCCCAAGGUAAAAUUGAAGAUGGUGUCAAAGUACCAGAAAAACAUGUGACAUCCAAGUCCGUCGAUGGAGCUCCAGCUUUCAAUCUAAGACAUUGCAGAAGGACACUGCCUCAGAAUAAGAACAUAGGAAGUCUGCAAGUACAUGAGUUGUGAAAAAUGGGGUCAAUUAGUAUGAAUAUAGUAGGAUACUAAACUUGAUUAAUUUAGGAAGUAAUGUCAACUCAGCUCCAAAAAUUUGAAGGUGACAUUACUCUUAGUAAAACCUGAGAUACAAUAUGUCGCCAUGUGAAAUGCCAAUCUUAUGGUACAAAGAAGACCGGAAAUUCAUGAAAUAAAGAAGUCCUUAUGUAAAUGAAAUAUAACAAUAGCAUCUCUCAAUCCAACACAUACGAGUCUAUGACUGCAACUCGUCGACACCUUGGAUAAGCCCGAAGCCAAGGCAUCAAUGAUCUGGGUAGUUGGCGAAUAUGUGGAAAAAAUAUGUCUCCUGAAGAAACAAAAGAUAAGCAUAAUAAGUUUGAUAAGCUUCACAAAUAGGUCUGGUUUGAUUAAAAACAAUUCACAACAACAACUUGACAACUGCACAAUUGACUAAUUCACCAACAAACUAACAACAUUUAACAUUUCAAGUUAACUGCAGAAUUUGAGUUUCAUCUAACUGCAUAUCUAACUGAAAUAAAAUUUCACUUCUAACUAACCUAUAACAAACUCCAACUAAAUUUUUAAUUUGUAACUAACUGUUAAAUUUAGGGUGAGUUUCAUUUGGAUCUCUAACAGAAUUGGGGGAGGGAAAGCUUAUAAAUGGUACUCACCUAUUUCUGCAAUGAAGUUUCCUUCUACAACUGGCUUUUCAUGUUGCAACUGAGUUCCUUCAUCAUCAUCAAUUAUGCAACUCGGUUCCUUCAUCAUCAUCGAUUCUGUAACCAAAACUCAAACAACAAUAAGGUGAAGUGAAGUAGAGGGGAGCAGGGAAAUGCGAAGAGGAAGACACAUACCAAUUCAAAUGCAACGUAGACAACAGUAUCAAGCCAACGUAACAACGACACACAGAAGCACAAGUGAAAAGGAAAGAAGAAGAAGAUGUUAGAACAAGAUUUGAUUUUGCAUCUAUACCUUGAGUUUUUAUGAUAACAAUUUUUAUUUGUGUGAGAACAAUUUUGGUAAUCUAAUGGUUUGUUAUUGUGAAGCUUUAGCCAACAGUUCUGAUUCUGAUCACAUGAUGUGCAACAUCAUCAAUUUCUGAACUAUGUGUUCCAAAUUCACUUCUUCGUUGCAAUUAGAAGUUCUUAAAGACGUCAAUAUUGUUGUUGCAAUGUUCUUUCUGCUUCUGUGUUAUCUCACCCGUCAUAAGCUUCUAAGGAGACUUUGUAUUGUUGUUGCAAUGUUCUCUCAGUUUUUGCUUUUGGAUGUGACUCUGAUCAACAAGCUUCUGAAAAAUGGAAAGCUUCUGAAGUUGUGUUACGUUUCUGAAGACUCUGAAGAUUCUGGAGACAUUGAAGAAAUCAAGCCAGACUACUGACGCUGCCAAGGUUCUGAAGUUUCUGAAUCCAUCUCUAUAUUUCUUCACUUCAUGCUUCAAUCAUAUUUUAUCAGAAGCCAAUGAAUCUGAAAAUAAUAUCAAAUGGGAACUUGAUCAAAUAGUACAUAGUACAAAUUAAACAACCUUUCCACUACCUGAUUUCGUGGGCAAGGACUGUACUAUUCAUCACACAUGUUACUGAUUAUGUGGGCGAAAGGAUAGUACAUGGUAUCAUUCCUUUCUCAUCCAACAGUGGACAGCCGCUCAAGGAGCUUUCCCCAUUUUGCCCUCCAACGGUCACAUGCUUACACUAUAUAAGCAUGCAUUGGAGACUUGAAGAAUUUGCUGAUCUACACAAGUAUUUUGACAAGCUAUUUUUCUUUGUCAAAAGCUAUCAUCUUUUGCAUACAGUGUUCUUUAAGUAUUUAUUAUUCACUUAUGUAAAUCUGAAGCUACAUCAGUCUUCUCAACAACGUCAGUCUUGAAGAAUUUCUUAGUUCUUUAACAAGUCAUGAGAUUAAGCUAGAAGAAGAUGAAUCUCGUAAGAGAGGUAAAUUUGUAGCUCUAAAAUCUAAUCCUGAGAAGACUAGAGCAUAUCAAGUUGAGAAAGAAUCAGAAGGAUCUGGUGAAGGCUCAGAAGAUGAUGAGUUGUCUCUAAUCUCAAGGAGAGUCAACGGACUCUGGAAACACAGGCAAAGUGGUCAAGGGAAAUCCAAAGGAGUCAAAAGGAUUGUUGGUCUCUUCAAAGCCUCAUCUGGUAAAAAGAAGCGAACUUCUGGAAAAGAAGUUACCUGUUUCGAGUGCAAGGAGGCAGACCAUUACAAGAAUGACUGUCCCAAGAUGAAGAAGGACAGAAGGCCCAAGAAGAACUUCUCCAAAAUCAAGAAGGGGUUGAUGGCUACCUGGGAUGACUCAGAAUCUGAAGAAGAAGAUUAUGACGAAGAAAAAGCUAAUGUUGCACUGAUGGUAACUAUUGAGGAUCCUACAAGCUCUAAGGAACCAGAAGAUAAGGUUUUGUCAGAAUUAGAAUCCGACUCUGAUUCUGAAGAGGUAUUCUCUAAACUAUCUCGUUCUGAUAUUCAAAUUUGUCUUUCUGAAAUGCUGGAAAAGUACUAGAGUCUUCAAAGAAAAUGCAAGGACCUUAAAAAAGUCCAAGUGACUGCUUCUGAAACUCAGAGAGAACUCGAGAAUGAUAUUUCCUCUCUAAACGAAAAAGUAUUUUCUUUAGAAAGUAAUAACUCUGCCUUGAAAAGCAAAAUUUCAAAACUAGAGGAGGAAAUAACUUCAGAAGUUUUUGGUACUGAUUGUGUCAUCAGAUAUGACAGAGCAUUCCAGUACUUUCUGGCUAAAAGCAUACAUAGAAUCAAAAUGGCUUCCUUGAUAUAUGGAGUUAACAGAAAUGGAAAGAAAGGUUUGGGUUGUACAGAAACUACAAAACCUGACGAAAGUCAGAAGGUCAAACCAAAACCUCUCUAUGUGCAUUUCGUGCGUGCUGGCACUGAGUCUGAUAUUUCUACACAGACACAGAAGCAUACUAAGGAUAGGAACUUUGUUUUGAAACCUAAGUAUCAUUCACAAAUCUCUCAAGAUUAUGCUUCUGCUAAAAGACCCAAAGUUAUGAGAAACUCUGGGAAAACUAACAAAAGAGGACCCAAAAAGUGGGUACUUAAGGAUAAAAUCAUUUAUGUUGCAGACAUCCUUAACAGCUCAAUUGAGAUACCAAUCAUGAUACCUAGACAAUGGAUGCUCGCGACACAUGACGGGAAGAAGGUCUAUGUUCCAAGAUUUGGAACUUAAGCCUUGAGGCUUUGUUAGUUUCAGAGGAAACCAGAAAGGAAAGAUCAUUGGCUCUGGAAUCAUUUAUGGGUCUAGCAUAGACGUUUGGGUCAUGUUAGCAUGAGAAGGAUUUCUUAGCUAAAUAAGCUUGAAUUAGUCAGAGGUCUACCCAAAAUGAUGUUCACAUGCUCGCGACACAUGACGGGAAGAAGGUCUAUGUUCCAAGAUUUGGAACUUAAGCCUUGAGGCUUUGUUAGUUUCAGAGGAAACCAGAAAGGAAAGAUCAUUGGCUCUGGAAUCAUUUAUGGGUCUGGCAUAGACGUUUGGGUCAUGUUAGCAUGAGAAGGAUUUCUUAGCUAAAUAAGCUUGAAUUAGUCAGAGGUCUACCCAGAAUGAUGUUCACUUCAGAUGCUCUUUGUGAAGCAUGUCAGAAAGGAAAAUUUUCUAAAACAUGUUUCAAAGCUAAAAAUUUUGUUUCUACCUCUAGACCAUUAGAACUUCUGCUCAUUUAUUUGUUUGGAUCAGUGAAAACUGCCUCUAUCUAUGGAAAGAAGUAUGGAUUAGUCGUAGGACAUGGGUAAAGUUCUUGAAACACAAGGAUGGGUUUCACUCUGUGUUCUCCACCUUCUGCUCACUGGUGCAAACAGAAAUGAAUUGCAAAAUAGUCAAAGUCAGAAGUGAUCAUGGUGGAGAAUUCGAAAAUAAACUGUUUGAAAAAAAAAUUGAUUCAAAUGGUAUUUCCCAUGAUUUCUCAUGUCCUAGAACUCCAUAAAAAAUGGAGUUGUUGAAAGGAAGAAUAGGACUUUACAAGAAAUGGCUUGAACCAUGAUCCAAGAAACUAAUAUGGCUAAGCAUUUCUGGGUAGAAGCAGUUAACACAGCAUGUUAUAUUCAGAACAGGAUUUCUAUUCGACCUAUUCUGGGUAAGACUCCUUAUGAAUUGUGGAAGAACAGAAAGCCCAACAUUUCUUACUUUCAUCCUUUUGGAUGUGAAUGCUUUAUGUUAAACACUAAAGAGAAUCUUGGCAAGUUUGGCUCUAAGGCACAGAAGUGUUUACUGUUAGGAUAUUUUGAACGCUCUAUAGGCUACAGAAUAUUUAAUACAGAAACACGAAUUGUUGAGGAAUCAAUUCAUGUUAGAUUCAAUGAUAAGCUUGAACUUGAAAAGUCAAAGCUAGUUGAGAAAUUUGCAGACCUGAAGAUCAAUCUUUCAGAAUCCAAAGAAAUUAUCUCUGAAGAAAAAGACUCAGAAGGCAAGGCUAAAGAAUUUAAAGAAACGACUCAACCAGAAGCAACCGUUGAUCCAACUCAUUAAAAGAAGAGUAGAUCAAGAACUUCUCAUUCUGAAGAACUGAUUCUAGGAAACAAGAAUGCUUCAGUCAGAACUAGACCUUCAUUCAGACCCUCUGAAGAAACUCUUCUAGGUUUGGUGUCUCUGAUAGAACCCACAUCCAUUGAUGAAGCUCUUCUGGAUAAUGAAUGGAUUCUAGCCAUGAAAGAUGAACUAAAUCAAUUCACUAGAAACGAUUUUUAGGAUCUUGGUCAAAAACUAAAAGGCUCCCAUGUCAUUGGAACCAGAUGGGUUUUCAGAAACAAGCUGAAUGAGAAAGGCGAAGUUGUCAAAAACAAAGGUCGAAUGCUAGCACAAGGUUAUAGUCAACAAGAACCUAUAGACUAUACAUAAACCUUUGCUCCAGUUUCCAGGUUAGAGUCUAUUCGUCUUUUAAUUUCCUUUACAGUCAAUUAUAACAUCAUACUUUAUCAGAUGGAUGUUAAGACUACAUUCCUAAAUGGUUAUAUUUCUGAAGAUGUUUCUGUGCAUCAACCUCCUAGUUUCGAAAAUUCUCAAAACCCUGACUUUGUUUUUAAAUUGAAAAAGUCUUUGUAUGGUCUAAAGCAAUCUCCGAGAGCUUGGUAUGAUAGACUAAGCAACUUUUUGUUGAAAAAUAAUUUUACCAUAGGAAAAGUGGACACAGCUCUCUUUUGCAAAACCUUCAAGAAUGACAUCCUGGUUGUGCAAAUAUAUGUUGGUGAUAUUAUUUUUGGUUCUGCUAAUGUGUCGUUGUGCAAGGAUUUUGCUAAGUCUAUGCAGGCAGAAUUUGAAAUGAGUCUGAUGGGAGAACUGAAGUUCUUUCUGGGAAUUCAAAUUGAUCAAAAACCAGAAGGCACGUAUAUUCAUCAAAGCAAAUAUACAAAGGAACUUCUGAAGAAAUUCAACUUAUUAGAAUGUAAGCUAGCAAAGACUUCAAUGCAUCCUACAUGCAUUCUGGAGAAAGAAGAGGUAAGUAGUAAGGUAAAUCAGAAGCUUUUCAGUGGUAUGAUAGGUUCUCUUUUGUAUCUAAUAGCUUCUAGACCUGAUAUAUUAUUUAGUGUAUGAUUAUGUGCUCGCUUCCAAUCAGAUCCUAGGUAAACUCACUUAACUGUUGUUAAGAGAAUCUUUAGGUAUCUGAAAGGUACUAAUAAUCUUGGUUUAUUUUAUAGAAAAUCAAAUGAUUAUAAAUUAGUAGGCUAUUGUGGUGAUGACUAUGCUGGAGAUAGAAUUGAAAGAAAAAAUACUUCUGGAAGUUGCCAGUUUCUGGGAGACAACUUAAUCUCAUGGUCCAACAAGAGACAGACAACAAUUGCACUAUCAAUAGUUGAGGCUGAAUACAUUGCAGGUUCUGGAUGCAGCACUCAGAUACUCUAGAUGAAGAGUCAGCUGGAAGAUUAUCAGAUAUCUGAGAGUAACAUUCUUAUUCUCUGUGAUAAUACUUCUGCUAUCUGUUUAUCUAAGAAUCCUAUUUUGCAUUCUAGGGCUAAGCAUAUUGAAAUAAAACAUCAUUUUUUACGUGACUAUACUCAGAAGGGAAUCUUCCACUUAAAACUUGUUGAUACAGACCAUCAAUGGGAUGAUAUAUUUACAAAACCCCUUGCUGAAGAUAGAUUCACAUUCAUUCUGGAAAAUCUAUUUAUGAAACCAUGUCCAGAAUGAAAAGAUGUUAUUCAGAAUGUAAAGUCUCUAGAACUUUAGGUAAGAUUCUGAGGUUGUUCUGCUUUCUAACUCUGAAACUUGAAGCUUUCUGAAGUAAGGAAGUUUUCAUGAAUCAAAAAGGUUUUGAUCAGAAGCAAUCUUAUCAAUUUGUCUUCCUGAUUCUGAACAGUUGCUGCAUUUAAUGGUUGUCCUUUCAUUUGAUUUUGUGUGGUUCUUUGUGGAGACAGUUGUCCCACUUUCUGAGCAUGCGUGAUUAAAGUGUGACACAUUGGGUUUAACAAUUCUUGGAAUUAGGUCCAAACCUUUACACUUCCCCCCAUGAUUGUGCACACCUUUUUUUGUCAUCAUUGCUAAAAUUGCCUAUUUAAACUCACAUCACUCACUUUUUCACACUACACACAUAUUUAUCCUACAUUUUCAAGUUUUCCAAACCUCAAACUCUCUCUCUCUCUCUCUCAAUUGUUCUUCAUCUUCAUCCUCUCUCAUUCAAAUGGCUGAACAACAAUCUCCAAAGACUACUGAACAACAACAACAUAUUGAACGCAACAUACUGGAAGGGAUUCCCGAACUUACUCUUCACACUUCAGUCAAUGAACUCACAGUGCUCUGUGAAACUAUCAUGGAUUUCGAAAACCUGAAGGAGAAUGGUUUUGAUUUCAUAAAAACUCUGAAUGUUCAAGGAUGGAACACGUUUUUCGAGAGACUCACAGGUCUAGUUUAUCUUCUGCUAGUCAAACAAUUCUGGGUCCAUGCCACUGCGGAAAAGGAAGCAAUUACCUCCUAUGUCAUGAAUAGGAAAAUUGUCAUCACUAAGAAGUCCAUUACGGACCUUAUUGGUCAUGAUGGCAAAGGUAAAAGAGUUCACAGUGCAACCAUCACAGCUAAGAGGGACGAUGAUAUCUCUCCAGUCAUCUUCAAAGAAGGUACCAACUUUGCUAAUGAAAAGGGUCCCAGUGCCAAGGAUUUAACCAACAAUUUGAGGGUAUGGUUCAAGAUUAUUUUGGGGUGUAUUAAUCACAUGCCAAGUACCAAUAGUUCUGACUACAUCAACACUCGUCAGAAGAUUAUGUUAUUCCUUCUGGAGAAUGGAGUUAAGUUGGGAUUGCCAUCGCUUCUGUUCAAAUUCAUCAGGGAUUCUAUCAGAGAAUCCAGAACUAGUGGAUCUUCCAAGAAAUCCAGAAGAAAAUUCAUACCAAAAGGCAGGUUAAUCUCAGACAUUCUGGUGGAAAAUGGUGUGGUAGAUGACAUUCUGGUCAGUGGGAUGACAUAAGAGCUGGUAAAGGACGUUGGGAAAGUGUUCUGGGGUAAGAACUUGAAAAGUACGGGUCUCAUCUCAAAAUUUGAAAGAUCAAAAAUCGUUCUGACCAAGGAUGAUAUAUGUGGUACAAGGAAUCCAAUAGAUGACUACCCCAUCUUCACCAAAGUAGAUCCUCCAUAGGUUUUGAUGGUUUAUUUAGAAAGUUGUCUUAAGGAUGGCAUCGACCCAUUGGUGGAUCCCUUAAAUCUCCUAUAAAACUACCCAGAGAUCCAUGGUAAAAGGAAGGAGGAAUUCAGAGGUGAAUGAUCCUCCAGAGCUCAGAAGAAGAAAAAUAUAGCUAUUUUUCAAAAUGAAGAUUAGGUGUCUCUAAGUGAGUGCCAAAAGGCUAUGAUUCUUAAGGAUACGUCUGGGGUCGUUCAACCCCCAAGAGCUUCUGGUAAGUUUCAUGUUGACACUUCUUAUUCUGUUUCUAUUCCAUAUAGAAUCUUACCACCUACACCACCAUCUCAAUGUAAUGUUUAUGAACCACUUCCAUUACCCACACCAGAAAUAACUCCACAUAUUUCAACACUUGUCAUCAAAAUACCACCACCACAAUCCACUCAAACUAUAGCAACAUCCGUCACAGAAACUCAUAUAGUUUCUAUCCCUGUUUUAGAACAACCAUUGAUACCACCUCCGCCAUUUCAUCCAUAGUUAUAAACUACACUCAUCUCAUCACCAUCAAAUGUUUCUGCUCCCCAACCAAUUAAUCCAAAUGUUUCCCCACCUCGGACAUCUCCUGCCAGAAGUGCCUCUGACGAACAUGUUUCUGAAGGCACUACUGAAGGAAUGUUUGAUUUCAAACCAGAAAUCACCUCACCGGAAUCAUCCUCUAUCAUUCAAUCCUCACAUCCCUCUGUCUUUGGUCCUGACUUUGACGAGUCCAUAAUCAAUCUCACCAUUAAAUAUCCCAAAGUCCAAACAUCAUCCUCUCCUAACCUUGGUAAGAUUCUAAUGGAGUUUGAUUCAGAAUCUAAGAGGCGUUUGGAGAUAGCAAUGAUUGUUAGUCAUUCUUCUGUAAACCAUGUUGCAAGUGAUUUAGCAUGGGAAGCCUAUAGAAGUUGGAUGAAUUCUGAAGUCUCUAAAAUUAAGGAUAUUGGGAAUACCUUAGCAGAAAGAAAAUUUCGUUUUGGGUUCGUGCCCUUAAUGGAAUUAUGGAAGCUGAAGAGUUCUCAAUUAUGCCUUCCUGUACCAGAAGUCAAAGAGACCUCUCCAGAACCCAUGGAAGAAGAAGAAGCUCCGACAACAGAACCUACUCAGAACAUUGAAUUUGCUUCUCCAAAACCUUUUGUUCCUGAACUUGAAGACGCUGUGAUGGAAGAAGCUCCAAACCAGAUCAUAGUCUUAGAAGCUUUUGUGUCUCGACCUAUUCCAGUUUCUCUUUUGAGAAUCAUUGAGCAGAUUAAGGUUGAUAAUGCAAAGGUCAACGAGCGUCUAGACAAGAAAGAUCUGAUGUUUCAGCUGAUUCUGUCAAGACUUCCUCCCCCUCCUCCUCCUCCACCUCCUCCCCAAAACCCCUAAAAAAAAUUUACCUUAAAUUUUUCGCUUUCUUUUUUGUUUCUUAAACUAUACUCUGCACUGCCUUUUGGCAUGUUUUCAAUCAAUAAAGUUGUUUUGUUUCUCAUUAUUUACUUUGCCUUUUUUUCUUUUUGAUUGAUGACAAAGGGGGAGAAAACAUAACAUUCUAAAGGGGGAGAAUUAAGCGUUUAUUUUGAUAUCUAAAUUCCUAAGUUAAAAAUCCAAACAUUGUUUAAAUAUUUUUGUUAACAAAUACUUCGAGAAAACUUUGUUACGUGUUUUUUAAGGGUUAACUCUCAAGAUUCAAAAUGGUUUGUUAAGCUUCUUUCUCAAGAAUCAGAAUAAAUCUCAAAGAAGUUUUUGAAGAAAGGUCUUCAAAGUUUCUGAAGAGAGGUUUUCAAAGAAGUUUCUGAAUAAAGUUCUUCUGAAGGUAUAUCAAAAUGAUGAUGUUAUUAACCAGUGUUCUGGACAACAUCAAUCAAAUUCUGAAGUUAAACCAGAUUCUGACUAAUUAUUCAUUUUGGUACUUCAAAAGGUAAAUCAGGAAAGUGUUCUUUCAUUAUGAGUUUAUCUUUAUAUGACUAUACAUCUCAGGGGGAGCUUUGUGCUUUUUUAAGAUGUAUUCUUUUGUGAUUACCCUGUACAAAAUUGUUCAUCAAAAUACAUGUUUUGUCAUCAUCAAAAAGGGGGAGAUUGUUAGAACAAGAUUUGGUUUUGCAUCUAUACCUUGAGUUUUGAUGAUAACAAUGUUGUAUUUGUGUGAGAAUAAUUUUGGUACCCUAAUGGUUUGUUAUUGUGUAGCUUUAACAAAAAGUUCUGAUUUUGAUGACUGAUGUGCAAAUUCAUCAGUUUCUGAACUCCGUGUUCCAAAUUCGCUUCUGUGUUGCAAUUAGAAGUUUUGAAAUGCGUCAAUAUUGUUGUUGCAAUGUCCUUUCUGCUUUUGCGUUAUCUCACCCAUUAGAAGCUUCUGAGGAGACUCUGUAUUGAUGUUGUAAUGUUCUCUCUGUUUUUGCUUCUGGAUGUGACUCUGAUCAACAAGCUUCUGAAGAAUGGCAAGCUUCUCAAGUUGUGUUAUGUUUCUGAAGACUCUAAAGAUUCUAAAAACACUGAAGAACUCAAGCCAGACUACUGACGCUGCCAAGGUUCUGAAGUUUCUGAAUCCAUCUCUAUAUUUCUUCACUUCAUGCUUCAAUCAUAUUUUAUCAAAAGCCAAUAAAUCUGAAAAUAAUAUCAAAUGGGAACUUGAUCAAAUAGUACAUAGUACAAAUUGAACAACCUUUCCACUACCUGAUUUCGUGGGCAAGGACUGUACUAUUCAUCACACAUGUCACUGAUUAUGUGGGCGAAAGGAUAGUACAUGGUAUCAUUUCUUUCUCAUCCAACAGUGGACAUCCGGUUAAGGAGCUUUCCCCAUUUUGCCCUCCAACGGUCACAUGCUUACACUAUAUAAGCAUGCAUUGGAGACUUGAAGAAUUUGUUGAUCUACACAAGUAUUUUGACAAGUUAUUUUUCUUUGUCAAAAGCUAUCAUCUUUUGCAUACAGUGUUCUUUAAGUAUUUAUUAUUCACUUGUGUAAAUCUGCUUUUGAAGAAGCAUCUUGUAACACGUAAACUUUUAUUCAAACUAUUUGUUUGAUUCCUUAAGGAGGUUAUUCUUGAGAAGACAAAGAAGGUUGUUCUUUGUGAAUCCUUGAGGAGACUAAGGUUUAGUUGGAUCAUUGAGAAGAAAAAGAAGGGUAUUUUUUGUGUUUAUUGUAAUUUAUUGAUUAUAGUGAAUUAAGUCCUUGUAUAUAAGGCAAAUCACCUUGGCGGGUGGACUGGAUUAGCUUUGAGUUUCAAGUGAACCAGGAUAAAAAUCAUAGUGCUUUUAUCUCUUCAUUAUUUAACUUGUUAGUGGUGUUUUUGUUUUGGAAAAAGCUUUUACUUGUAAAAUCCGAUUUCAACCCCCCCCCCCCCAUCUUGUGUUUUUCAAACCUUCAGAAGAGAUUGAAGCUAAGGAAGAAGGAUACUUAAUACUUGUCAAUCGGGUAACCUUUUGAUUCACUGUCGACACUUUUCGUUUUCUUUUUUUAUUUGCGCGCGAUUAGGAUCGAACAACAUGCAUCAGGAGUUCUGAGUCGUCAUAAAUAAUGAAUAUGACGCUCCGAUACGAGACGAGAUGUUGUUAUUAAGAAGAUGCAAUGCCAAAUCCAACAUGAUUCACGACUCACCUCCCUGUGAUUCUGCAGUGUUUCUUCCAUUGGACUUGGACCCUGUGUGGAGGUUUGAACACCGGAAUCUUGCAGCUUUAUCCCGUUUCCGUUCCUAUUUUGAAGGCGCACACGCAAAGAUGAAGCGCGGUGAAAGUUGUAGUGCGGCCAAGCUUUUGAUGUGGAUGCAUUUGGAUUAGGACUCGAGUCACAGUGAGAGUUUGUCCAAUUUGAACUCAAGCCCAAACGUUUUGGCCGUGCACUCCCAACAAUCGCUAUCAACACCCCCUCUCAAUUCUAAUUGACAUUGGGUCGGGACUUUCAGGCAUAUCCUCAGUUUUUGUUGGAUCCAUUUUUUCUCUUCUUGUUUUAUUGAUUAGUUAGCAAUUAGAUCAUUAGCAUUUAAUUUGGUUUUAGGUUAAUUAGCUUAAUUAGAAGAUUAUGAUUUAAUUAGAUUAAUUAGGAUUUUUAGAUUUUAAUUAGUUUAGUUAGAUUUUAGAAUUAGAUGUUAAGAUUAUUUUAAUUAGAGGAUUAGGAUUUAACUAGAUUAAUUAGGAUGUUUAUAUUUUAAUUAGUUUAGUUUGAUUUUAGAAUUAGAUGUUAACAUUAGAUUAAUUAAAGGAAUAGGAUUUAAUUAGAUUAGUUAGGAUUAAACCUGAUUAGUUCAGUUAGGUUUUUUAGAUUUUAAAAUUUUGAUUAGAUUUAAUUAGGAUUACAUAUUGAUUAGUUUAAUUAGGAUAAUAUGUUUUUUUAGAAUAUUAGUUAAUUGGAUAUUAGAAAUUAAUUAGGUUGUUAGAAUUUUUAGUAUUUUAGAAUUAAUUAGAAUUGUUUAGAUUCAAUGGAGUUUAAUUAAAUUUUUCAUGAUUAGAAAUUAAUUUGAUAUCAAUAAUUUGAACAGAAAUGGUCAUUUUGCCCUUAGGGCUUAGAAUUCUGAUUUUUUAUACAUGUUCCCCUAGUUUAGGGUCUUAAUCAGAAUUUUUUUAUUUUAUUUAGUUGAUUAAUUCCAUAGGUUUAUUAUUAUACAUAGUUCAAUUAAUAUCUUCAGUCCCACUGAUUAGUGUUGACCAAAGGUCGCUUUGGUCAACCAAGUCAUUUGUAUUGUGUUGUAAGCCCCAAGCCUAUUCAAGUGAUCAAAAGACCCUUGAUCACUUGAUAUGGCAAGUUCAUUAUGCUCAAGCUAUAUUUGAUAUGUUGAAUCUCAAGAGCUCAACACCUCAAGGUUCAAAUCCAAGAUCAAGACUUCAAGUCAACAUCAGUCAAGCGUAGCUAGCAAAGUGGACUACUUCUAAAGCACAGCAAAGGUAUCAACACUUGACAAGUGUGAUUCAAAUUGUAAGCCAUAAGCCUUAAGUAAUGAGGAAUGAUGAGACGGAGUUUCUCCUACCCUUGUCUAGAAUGACUUUGCGUAUGGGGCAUAGGCCCUAGCUAUUCAAAGCAUUCUCCCUCAUUCAUAGACUUUACCAUAAUUCGAAUCAAAUAAUUAUCAAGUCUUCUCAACACAACAAACAACAUGGCAUCAUUAAGAUCAAUAAUCAGAAUCCCCUAACAACACUUGUAAAUCAUGAUAAGGGUUACAUUGUAUGAGCCUUAAGUAAUGAGGAAUGAUGAGACGAAGUUUCUCCCACUCUUGUCUAGAGUGACUUUGAGUGCGGGGAAUAGGCCCUAGCUAUUCAAAGCAUUCUCCCUUGUUCAUAGACUUUGGUGCAAUCUGAAUCAUGCAAUUGACCAAGUCUCCUUCAAGCAAGCAUCAAUCAUUCAACUUUUGCUUUUAGCACCUUGUGGUUGUACACCCUCUUUCAUUCAACUCUUUCCUGCCUAUGAGGUGAUAGACCUUGGCACUCCAUUUGCCUUGUAGGGUUAUGGACCCAAGCAAUUCAUUCAUUCUUGCAUAUAAGGUGGUAGACCUUGGCAACCUUUCCUUGCUUAUGAGGUGAUAGACCUUAGUAUUCCUUUUGCCUUGUGAGGUGGUGGACCUUGGCAACAUGUUCUCACCUUCAAGGUGGUAGACCUUGGCAAUAUUUAUUUUUCCCCGUGAGGUGGUGAACCUUGGCAAUCUCUUUCGGUGCCUAUGGAGUUAUAGACUUUGGCAGUUGGUUAUAGACCUUGACGAUUUCUUUGCUUAGCCUUGUAGAGAUAUGGACUCUUGGGAAUCCCCUUGCCUAUUGGGUUGUGGACCUCGACAGUGGUUUCCUUUACCUUUAGAGUUAUAGACCUUGGCAUCCUUUCUCAUUGCCUUUUGAGGUGAUAAACCUUGGCAGUUCAGUUCUUUGCCUUCAGAUUUAUAAACUCUAGUAGUGAUACCUUACCUAGAAGGUUGUGAACCUUGGAACUCCUUUUUCUGCCUCGAAGGCUUAUGUACCCUGGCAAUCAAUUUAUCUUCCUUUGUUUCAUCCAUAGUAGGCUGAACUACGAAAGCUUUGAAUUUCUCAUUGCAUGGUGAGAAUACGUAGGCACGAGGAUUCAGAUUCUCCGCGAGCUACCCUGUUUAUUGAUUAUAUCUUAUCUAUUAUCUUCUCCAUUCAAUCAAUACCAUCUUUUGAGAUCAUAUAGUUAUCCUUGGACUCCAUUUCAUCCUUUUAGAACGAUAUAGCGGAAGUCCGCCUUGUGAACCAAGAGUUGUUUGGCUCGUAUCCAAACAUUUAAUUCCUUCUUUUUUGACUAAGACGUUUGUUUACUCUUUGGUUCAGAGUCUAUUCCUUCAUGGGUCCAAUAUACCAUUCUUCUUUGGUUUCAAAUUGUUUGUUCCCCAGCAAGUGAUAUAUUGUUCCUUGUAUCCAAACAAAAAAUUCUUGUGGGUCCCAUACCCAUCCUUUUAGGGCAUUUGUCCAUCUUGUUAACCAAGAGAUGUUUUCCUUGAUGUCAAACACCUAAUUCAUUCUUUUUGGUAAGAAAAUACAGUGGGUAUGCCUCUGUCUCUCCACAUCUUAGUCUGUAUCUUUUUACUCUUGGGUUUAAAGCCAGUUUACCUUUAUGGGUUCCCGUUUUACCAUUCUAUUGGUACAAGUGAUAUUGUUUAUCACUUCAUUCAUACCAUUAAAUUUGUUUGUCUUGUUAGUCCUAGUUCCUUAGGAAAACACUUCCCCAUAUCCCUUUUGUUUUCGUGGUUCCACGAACUAUGAAUGCUCUGACUUUCUCAUUGCAUGAUGAGAAUGUUAGAAUAAGAUUUGGUUAUGAAUUUAUACCUUAAGUUUUGAUGAUAACAAUAUUGUAUUUGUGUGAGAAUAAUUUUGGUACCCUAAUGGUUUGUUAUUGUGUAGCUUUAACAACCAGUUCUAAUUCUGAUCAUAUGAUGUGCAACAUCAUCAGUUUCUAAACUUUGCAUUCCAAAUCCGCUUAUACGCCUCCUAUUAGAAGUUUUGAAAGACGUCAAUAUUGUUGCUGCAAUUUGCUUUCCGCUUCUGUGUUAUUUCACUCGUUAGAAGCUUCUGAGGAGACUUUAUCUUGCUGUUGUAAUGUUCUCUCACUUUAUGCUUCUAGACGUGACUCUGAUAACCAAACUUUUGAAGAAUGGAAAGCUUCUGAAGUUGUGUUAUGAAGCUGAAGAUUCUGAAGAUCUCAAGCCAGAAAUUUGAAGUUAUCAAGGUUCUGACUGAGGAUUCUAAAGACUCUGAAGAUAGUGAAGACCUCAAGCCAGAUUAAUGACGUUGUCAAGGUUCUGACCCAAGGUUUUGAAGUUUUUGAAUCUAGCUAUAUACUUCUUCACUUCAUGCUUUAAUCAUCUUUAAUCAGAAGCCAGUGAAUUUGAAGAUAAGAUCAAAAUGGGAAUGUGAUCAAAUAGUACAUGGUGCAAAUCGAACAACCUUUCAACUACCUAAUUUUGUGGGCAAGGAAAGUACUAUACAUCACAUAUGUCACUGAAUUUAUGGGUGAAAGAAUAGUACACAGUAUCAUUCCUUUCCCAUCCAACAGUGGGCAGCCGCUCAAAGGAGAUUUCCCUAUGUUGCCCUCCAACAGUCACAUGUUUAUGCUAUAUAAACAGGCAUUAGAGACUUGAAGAAAACGAUAAUUUGCACAAGUAUUUUGACAAGCUAUUUUUCUUUGUGAAAAGCUAUCAUUCUUUAUAUACAAUUUUCUUUAAGUGUUUGUUAUUCAUUUGUGUAAAAUUUGAUUGUGUAGAAGCAUCUUGUAACACACUAAAUAUUCUUCAAACUCUUUGUUUGAGUCCUUAAGGAGUUUAUCCUUGAGAAGACAAAGAAAGAUGUUCUUUGUAAGUCCUUAAGGAGACUAAGGUUUAGUUGGAUCCUUGAGAAGACAAAGAAGUUUAUUCUUAGUGUUUAUUGUAAUAUGUUGAUUAUAGUGGAUUAAGUCCUUGUGUAUAAGGCAAAAUUACCUUGGCUGGUGGAUUGGAUUAGCUUUGAGUUCAAGAGAACCAGGAUAAAAAUCAUUGUGUUUUUAUCUCUUUGUUAUUAACUUGUUAGUGGUGUUUUUGUUUUGGAAAAAGAUUUUGCUUGUAAAACCCAAUUCAAACCCCCUUUUUCUUGUGUUUUUCAUGAAUCAAAAAAGGUUCUGAUCAGAAAAAAUCUUAUCGAUUUGUCUUCCUGGUUCUGAACAUUCGUUGUAUUAAAUGGUUGUCUUCUCAUUUGAUUUCAUGUGGUUCUUAGUGGCGACAGUUAUCCCACUUUCUGAGCAUGUGUGAUGAAAGCGUGACACAUUGGGUUUAAAAAUUCUUAGAAUUAGGUCUAAACUCUUAUGCUUCCCCCUAUAUAAACCCAAUUCACUCACAUUUUCACACUACGCGCUCAUCUCUCCCACAGUUUAGUUUUUCAAACCUUAAAACAACCUUUUUUCUCUAUGCAAUUGUUCUUCAUUUUCAUCUUCAUCUUCUUCAAAUCAAAUGGAUGAUCAACAACAACAAUCUCCAAGCUCCUCAAAGGAAACUGAAAGCAACAACAUAUUGGAAGGAACUCCUGAGUUAACCCUUCACACUCUGGUCAAUGAGUUAAUAGUGUUAUGUGAAACCAUUAUUGAUUUCGAAAACCUAAAGGAUAACGGUUUUGAUUUCACUUAAACUUUAAAUGUUCAAGGAUGGAACACCUUAUUUGAGAGACUCACAAGCCCAGUUUACCCUGUGUUAGUAAAGCAAUUUUGGGUUCAUGCAACUGCUGAGAAGGAAACCAUCACUUCCUAUGUCAUGAAUAGAAAGAUAGUCAUCACUAAGAAGUCUAUAGCUGAUCUCAUUGCUCAUGAAAGUAAAGGGAAGAGGGUUCACAAUGCAACAAUCACUACUAAGAGAGAUGUUGUCAUUUCUCCUGUCAUCUUCAAGGAAGAAACCAACUUCGCUGAUGAAAAGGGUCCCAGUGCUAAGGACUUAACAAGGAACCUAAGGGUUUGGUUCAAGAUCAUUUUGGGUUACAUUAACCAUAUGCCAAGUACAAAUAGUUCUGACUACAUCAACACACGUCAGAAAUUCAUGCUAUUUCUUCUAGAAAAGGGUGUCAUGUUGGGACUUCCAUAACUUCUGUUUAAGUUCAUGAGGGAUUCUAUCAGAGAAUCCAGAACUGGUGGAUCAUCUAAGAAGUCUAGAAGAAAAUUCAUUCCCAACGGUAGAUUGAUUUCUGAUAUCCUUGUGGAAAGUGGCUUAAUGGAUGACCUUCUGGUCAGUGGAUUGACAGAAGAGUCGGUGAAGGAUGCUGGCAAAGUCUUAUGGGGGAAGAAUCUGAAAAGUAUAGGUCUUAUCUCCAUAUUUCAAAGGUCAAAUGUCAUUUUGACUAAGGAUGAUAUAUGUGGUAUAAGAAAUCUCAUUGAUAACUACCCUAUAUUCACCAAAAUUGACCCUCCACAGGUUUUGAUGGCUUAUUUGGAAAGAUGUCUGAAGGACGGAAUUGAACCUUUAGUGGAUCCUUUUAACCUUCCAAAAACUUACCCUGAUGUUCAUGGAAAGAGAAAGAAGGAGUUCAGAGGCGAAUGGUCUUCUAGGGCUCAGAAGAAGAAGAAGAUUGUUAUCUUUCAGGAUGAAGAUGAGGUGCCUCUGAAGGAUACUGCUGGAGUUGUCAAGUCUUCAAGAGUUUCUGGUAAGCCUCCUUCUUAUAGAAUUCCUUUAAAUUAUGAUUCAAUAUCUUCUGAAAGGAUAUUACCAAUCCCUCCUUCAUAUUAAUCCACUAUUUCUGAACCAAUCCCAAUUCCACCAUCAAAAUCAAACCCACCAAUAUCAACUCCAAUCAUAGAAAUUCCACCACCAAUAUCAAAUCCCAUAAUAGAAACUCCUGUUACAGAAAUUCCCAUCAAUAAAACUCCUUUAGUUUCUGCUCCUGUUUAAGAACAACAACAGAUACCACCACCAUUAUCUCCUCCACAAUUACAAAUUUCACCCAUCUCCCGUAACGAACUAAUCCAUAUUUUGCAAUACCUAGAGCAUCUCCCGCAAGAAGUGUUUCUGACGGAAAUGUUUCUGACGGCACUCCUGAAGGAAUGUUUGAUUUUGAACCAGAAAUCACCUCACAUGAAUCACCUCCUGCUAUUCAACCAACACAUCCUUCUAUUUUUAGUCCUGACUUUGAUGAGUCCAAAAUCAACCUCACAAUAAAAUACCCAAAACUACCAACAAAAUCCUCCCCUAACUUUGGUAAGGUUCUGAAGGAUUUUGAAUCUAAAUCUAAAACUUGUUUGGAGAAAGAAAUGACUAUCAAUCGUUCUUCUGUAAAUCAUGUUACAAGUGAUUCAGCAUGGGAAGCUUAUAGAAGUUGAAUGAACUCUGAGAUUUCCAAGCUGAAGGAUCUUGGGUACACUCUUGCUAGAAGCAAAUUCCAUUCUGGGUCCGUGCCCUUAAUGGAACUGUGGAAGCUAAGAAAUUCCCAAUUAUGCCCUCCUGCUCUAGAAAUCAAGGAAGCCUCUCUAGAAGCUAUGGAAGAAGAAGAAGUUGCUCCAUAAAUAGGGAUCGUUUAGCACAUUGAGUCUGCUCCAGAACCUGCUCCUACUUAUGACCCUCAAGACUCUAUUAUGGAAGAAGCUCCUACUCAGAUGGUCGUCUCAAAAGCUUCUACCUCUCAGCCUAUUCUGGUUUCUCUUCUAAGGAUAAUUGAGUAGAUCAAGGCUGAUAAUGCAAAGGUAAAUGAGCGUCUGGAUAAGCAAGAUCUCAUGUUCCAACUGAUUCUCUCAAGGCUUCCUCCUCUUCCUCCACCUCCUCCCCAGAACCCUUAGUUUAUAUUAUUUUUUUACCUUCUUGAAAUUUUUCUUUUGGUGUACUCUGCACUGCCUGUUGGCAUUUUAAUCAAUGAAAAUUGUUUUGUUUCUCUUUAUUUAUUUAUUAUCUUUUUGAUUGAUGACAAAGGGGGGGAAAACAUAACAUUCUAAAGGGGAAGAAUUAAGUGUUCAUUUUGAUAUCUAAUUUCCUUAAGGAAAACCCAAACAUUGUUUAAUGAUUCUGCUAGCAAAUACUUCGAAAAAGAGUUUGUUAAGUGUUUGCAUGGUUAUUUCUCAAGAAUCAGAAUGGUUCUGAAUAUGCUACUUUUGAAAAUCAUGCUUCUGAAAAGUCAAGGUUCUAAAAACCUUAUCCUUCAAGGAAGAAAAGUUUCUAAAGAAAAGCUUAUGUAUUGAAGCCUAUCAGAAUGAUGAUGUUAUCAACCAGUGCUUUGGACAAUAUCAACUAACUUCUGAAGAUAAAUCAGAUUUUGACUGAAUAUUCACUCUGGUACUUCAAAAAGGUUAAUCAGGAAAGUGUUCUUUCAUUCUGAUUUUAUCUUUAUAGGAUUAUACAUCUCAAGGGGAGCUUUAUGCUUUUUUAAGAUGCAUUCUUCUGUGAUUACCCUGUACAAAAUUGUUCAUCAAAAUAUAUGUCUUGUCAUCAUCAAAAAGGGGGAGAUUGUUAGAACAAGAUUUGGUUUUGCAUCUAUACCUUGAGUUUUGAUUAUAAAAAUAUUGUAUUUGUGUGAGAAUAAUUUUGGUACCCUAAUGGUUUAUUAUUGUGUAUCUUUAACAACCAGUUCUGAUUAUGAUCAUAUGACGUGCAACAUCAUCAGUUUCUGAACUUUGUGUUCCAAAUCCGCUUAUGCGCCUCCUAUUAGAAGUUCUGGCAGACAUUAAAAUUGUUGUUGCAAUGUUCUUUCUUGUCUUGUGUUAUUUCACUUAUUAGAAGCUUCUGAGGAGACUUUGUGUUGUUGCUGCAAUAUUCUCUCAGUUCGUGCUUCUGGACGUGACUCUAUUAACCAAAGUUCUGAAGAAUGGCAAGCUUAUGAAGUUGCGUUAUGAAGAUGAAGAUUCUGAAGAUCUCAAGCCAUACAAUUGAAGUUAUCAAGGUUCUGACUGAGGAUUCUAAAUAUUCUGAAGAUACUGUAGACCUCAAGCCAAAUUAUUGACGUUGUCAAGGUUCUGACCCAAGGUUCUGAAGUUUCUAAAUCCAGCUCUCUACUUCUUCACUUCAUGCUUCAAUCAUCUUUAAUCAGAAGCCAAUGAAUUUGAAGAUAAGAUCAAUAUGGGAACGUGAUCAAAUAGUACAUGGUACAAAUUGAACAACCUUUCCAUUACCUGAUUUUAUGGGCAAGGAUAGUAUUAUAGGUCACACUUGUCACUGAAUUUGUGGGCGAAAGGACAGUACGUAGUAUCAUUCCUUUCCCAUCCAACAGUGGACAGCCUCUCAAAGGAUCUUUUCAUAUUUUGCCCUCCAACGGUCACAUGCUUAUGUUAUUUAAGCAGGCAUUGGAGACUUGAAGAAAACGAUAAUUUGCAUAAGUAUUUUGACAAGAUAUUUUUCUUUGUGAAAAGCUAUCAUUCUUUGUAUACAGUUUUCUUUAAGUGUUUGUUAUUCAUUUGUGUAAAAUCUGCUUGUAUAGGAGCAUCUUGUAACACACUAAAUAUUCUUCAAACUAUUUGUUUGAGUCCCUAAGGAGGUUAUCCUUGAGAAGACAAAAAAAGUUGUUCUUUGUGAGUCCUUAAGGAGACUAAGGUUUAGUUGGAUCCUUGAGAAGACAGAGAAGGUUAUUCUUUGUGUUUAUUGUAAUAUGUUGAUUAUAGUGGAUUAAGUCCUUAUGUAUAAGGAAAAAUCACCUUGGCGGGUGGACUGGAUUAGCUUUGAGUUCAAGUGAAUCAGGAUAAAAAUCAUUGUGUUUUUUAUCUCUUUGUUAUUAACUUGUUAGUGGUGUUUUUGUUUUGAAAAAAACUUUUUCUUGUAAAACCCAAUUCAAACCCCUUUUUUCUUGUGUUUUUCACACCUUCAGAGAAUAUGUAGGCACGAGGAUGUGAAUCCUUGACGAGUAUAAUCCUAAUUAUUCCUUCUUUUAUAUUAGGGCAUUCUCCAUUCAUCUCCAUGAUGCAUUCAUAUUCUACCUUCAUUCAUUUCAUGUGAUAUAAUCUACUUUUGAGCCAAAUACACUAUCUCUUUGAGCUUCAUUCAGCGUCUUCUUGUGGACCAAGAGUUGUUUGGCUUAUUUCCAGACACUUAAUUCUCUUUGUUUUAGUUAUUACAAUACAAUGACACCAUGCCUUAGGCCCCUCACUUGUUGGUUCAUACCAGUUUUACUUUUGGAUUCAGAUUUCACCCUUUUUUGGAGUUCAAACCAUAUUUGUUAUCGCAACCUCUUUUCACCUCCCGCCAUUAGUUCUAUGAACUACGGAGCUCUGAAUUCCUUAUUGUACUAUAAGGAUAUGUAGGCAUGAGGGAACUAAUCCUCACCGAGCACUUUAUCUAUUUCCAUCCUUUUCCCUUUAUUCUUUUGCGAGUAAACUUUAGAUAUAACAUCCAUUCGAGCAAGAACAAUCAAAAUGGUUCCCAUGGAGUACCAUGGAUGUAAGGGGUGAUAAUACCUUCCCCUUGCAUAACUGACUUCCUUACCCAGAGUCUCUUUCCCCUGGGUUUUAUCGAUGUUUUCCCUUUUCUUCGGAAAUAAAUAAAGUUUGAUGGAGACUUUGUUGUAUGUUCGAGUGUGCGAUGCACUCGGGUAUAUUUUGCAAGAUGUUAAGUGGUUGAGAACCCCAAUUAAUAUCGUCAACACUUAAAAUGAUCAGGAAAUAAUAUCAAAUCCCUCUAACUAGAGCCAAAUGAAUAGAAUUAGGUCAAACAUUACACCACGCAACUGAUAACAAAAUCCUAUCAAAUAUGCUCGUAGAGGACGAUCGAUCAAUUCAACAUUAUCAACGAACAAAUUAAAUUCAUACAUAUCUUCCCGUCUUGCAAAAUACCUCCUUCCACACACAUAGAUUUUAACCCCUUUGAAUAUUGAUAAAUUUUCCCAGUUGAUUAUAGAAAACAUAUUUUCCUCAUCUAUCACAAGGAACAUAAAUAUUAGUCAUGCUAGAACCUACUCUAUUACUAGAAAAAAUCUCAUUAUUGCUAAACGUGUGACUAAAACUCGAAGAAAAAAUCACACUCAAAAAGAGUAUCACACAUAUUUAGGAUACAACCCUAAAACUAGGGAUGGAAAAACGGGUCAUGGCCCGCCAGGCCAACCCACGUACCCAUCCAAAAAAUGGUGGGUUAGGUUGGGAUUUUGUGUCCGCCUACACACUCAGCUCGUCCAGCUUUAAGCUCGCCUUGCCUUAAGCCCGCCAAAAUAAGGGACGAGUUGGCCUGUCAACCUAGUUAUCAAGCACUCAAAAUAUUUAUUUUGUUGGUUUAAGGUUAAUACUUGAAAUAUAGUUUUGGAAUACUUGUUGAUGAUUCUAUUUUAUACAUUUAUUUGUGAAUAUAUGCAAUAUUUUUUUAAGUAAAAUCUUCUAAAAAGAUGCUUUAUAAAAAAUUAUUCUAAAAAAUAAGUGAAAAAUGUAACUGAAAUUUAAAAAUAAGCCUAUUAAUCUAUUAAAAAAUGAAAUAUAAAUAUAUAUAAAAAAAAUAGGCGGCCAAACCUGCCGCCUGCCACCCCGUCACCUUGGCGGGACGAGCUAGAUUUUUAAGUCCAAUUUCACUUGACAGACUUGUCCGCUCCGUCCCUUUUUUGGCGGGUUUAAGAUGGGGAGGGCGACCCAUUUUGCCACCCCUACCUAAAACACCCACUGACUGACAAAAGGAAAACCCUACUUCUUUAGACCACCACAAAGAUUUGUAUAAAAAUUGAUCCAUUCCUUCGAUAUUCGUAUCUUGGAUACAAACAAUAUUAAACUUUCUCUUUUUAAUCAAAAUUUUCAUCUCUUUCAUCUUAACCAUUCAUCUCAAACCUCUAACAUUAAUAUUAAUAAUCUUCAUUGCACACAAGCAAUAUCUUUCACAAGAGAUAACAAAAUAACUCUAUUAAAUUUUAUUUAAGGUCUUUUAAUAUAUAUAUAUAUAUUCAUAUUAUAUAUUUUAAUUAAAUUGGAUUUUUUUUAAGGUCUCUUAUUAACUCUUUAAUAUCUAUUGACAUAAACAACACUAGUUUAUAUCUCCUUCAAUGUUGGCUGGUAAGACUCGCAAUGGGUAAUUUUCUACAUCAUAAAUACCUUGACUUAUUAGUCUACUGAGUGUUCACAUUUAUACUUAUCCUCUUCUACAUGAUCUAAGACAAGGCCUUAAGUUCAAUUAAUCAACAUUAAUGGUUAUUUGUUCGAUAAUCAUCAUUAUGGGGGGACAUGUCAGAACAUUCUAAUAUUUUCUCAUAAAUGAUAUGCAUUUGGAUAUCUCUCCCUAGGGCAGUCUUCGUCACGCCAUUGUCUCAUAAUGGCUUUGCCCGACCUAAUCAUAACUCGACUUCUCUUACUCUUAGCCCGCCCAAUGUUAUGUUCCUCUUGGUUAAGCUCGUAUUACUUUUGGCCUAGAAAGUCUAAGGACUAUCUAAAAGGUACAUAGUCCCCCAAGCAUGAUGUCCAAAGGGUUGAAAUGCUUAAGAGUGAGGUCAUUCAAGCUUAUCUGACCUUAUUACUCGACCAACCUCCAAAUUUGGCUGAACGUUCAAGAGCCUUACAUGUGGGGGGGGGGGUCCAGUGUGAGGCCCUUAGUGAUGAAAUGCUUAAGAGUGAGGUCAUUCGGGCUAAUCCAGAAAAUUACAAGGAUCAAAUUUGGAGUUUGGUCGAAUGAGAAGGUCGGAUCAGCUCGAAUGAACUUACUCUUAAGCAUUUCUCCCCUAAAGGCCUCAUGCUUGGGGGGCUGUGUACAUCCCAAAAAAUUGCAGGGCAGAAUUUUGAGUUUGGUCGAGUAAUAAGGUCAUAUCAUCCCGGAUGAACUUACUAAACAUUUUGCCCCUAAGGACCUCAUGCUUGGGGGAGUGUGUGCAUCCUGAAAAACUGCAAGUGCAAAAUUUGGAGUUUGGUCAAGUAAUAAGGUCGGAUCUGCCCGAAUGACCUCACUCUUAAGCAUUUCACCUCUUUAGACCUCGUGUUUGGGGGACUAUGUAGCUUCCGGAUAUUCCUUAGGCUUGCUCGGCCAAAAGUAAUGUGAGUUUGACCAAUAGGGGCUUAAGAUUUAGGCGAGUUAGGAGUAAGACAAGUUGAGUUAUGAUUAAGUCAUCCAAAGCCAAGAUAAGACAAAGGCUCGACGAAGACCGCCCCAGGGUGAUAUAUACCGGAUAGAGCAUUUAUGAACAAUUAUCAUAAUGUUCCGACGUAUCCCCCACAAUGAUGAUUAUCGAAUAAAUGACAAUUGUUGUCCAUUAUGCUGAUUAAUGGUAGUUAAGGUUUUGUCUUGGAUAAUGCAAAAGGAGAAUGCAAUACCUAAAACCUUAAUUUAGGUUGUUUUACCCUUGAGUCGUUCCAAAUGUCUUAAAAGAUCUUUAAAAUUAAUUAUAAUAUCACUUUAAUUAUCUUAAUCAAUAAUAAAAAGUUUCUCUCUUUGAAUUUUAUUUUUUUUAUUAAAUUCCACCCCACCCUAUACUCCUACUUUGACUCUUCUCAUUCUCGAUGUAUAUUUAUACUAGUCUAUACUUAAUAUUUAUAAGGCAAACGACAUAUCCUAUCUAUAAGACACUGGUUGUCUUGUCUCAUCUCUCUCAUAUUAGAAACAAACUCUACCUUAAACAAAGCUAAAAUUAAUUAAGGAUGAUGAUGCAACUUAAAGUAGUCCUCACAACGUUGGUGUGUUGGAGCAUAAUAAUUAGUUAUCACUGUGUAGUUGGAGAUUCACAAACAAGUACUGUACUGAACAGUGGAUGCAGCACAUUUAACGCAUCAAAUUUGCGUAGCUUCUAUGCAAACAUUAAUGGAACAUUUUCAGAUUUGAGAAAUCAAAUUAGCAAUGGAAGCAAACACUUUGCAAUAGCACAAGAGGCGAGAGGAGAGGUAAUAGUAUAUUCUCUUUUUCAAUGCAGAAAUUACCUCUCCAAAAAGGAUUGUGUUGCUUGCUUCAACACCGCUUCUACUCAAAUUCGUAACUGUUCAGCUUCCAAUGGUGCCAGACUCAUAUAUGAUGGAUGUUUCCUAAGGUAUGUAUGUGGGUGUUAAGAUUUUAGUAUAUAUUUUUCUCUUUUUUUUUAAAUUAAUUAAUAUGCACUAUCGAUUCAUCAUCAUUAUCCGUUUGCAUUACUUUAUAGAUUUUAAAAAUAAAAGUCAAACUUGUCUCAAUAUCCAACGGUUAUAAUUUACUGACGGUGUAAAAUUCUUUUAUACUGACAGUGGAUAUCAAUUAUAUUCUUUUUUAUUUAAAUUAUUAGCUCAAAAUACUAAUUUAAUUUGUUUUCAAACACUAAUCUCAAGUUGAUGGCUAGCACUAGCUGGUUUAUGUCAUAAUAUGAUUGAAACUUUCUUGUCGAGUUCUCUAUCUUUUGAAAAACCAAAACCAAAAUAUUAAUUACAAAAAUAUCACUUUCCUUGAAAUUAAUUUUUCAAACUAUUAGUUGUUUAGUUUUAUACUUCAAGUCGUAUGUUUUUAUUCGUGAGAGAAGGAAAAAAGAUUUAAAAUACGCGCAAUUUCAUUUUCAUUGAAAGGGGUGUAUUGUUAUAGUGAAAAAAAAUAUAUCAUUUUAUAUAAUAUUUAAAAAUCAUAUUAUUAUAUAAUAAAUCUUAAUCAUCUCGAAGAAUUAAUGAGAAAAAAUAUCAUAAUUUAACAACAACAAAAAUUAAUUCGUAAAAUUAGAAAUGAAACUUCACGAUUGUUAUUCAUAAAUGAUUAAAUCAAUAUUAACAAAUAUAGAUUAAAAAAUUUAAUAUGAUUAAAUCAAUAUUAACAAAUAUAGAUUAAAAAUUUUAAUCAUACAUAUAAUAAAUGAUUAAAUUGAAUCAUAAAAAUCUAUAUUAAGAAAUAUCAACAAAAUAAUCAAUAUUAAUUAACAAAUUACUAAAUUGAUUUGAUAAGAUAAAAAUGUUCUUCGUGUAAAUGUCAAAAAGAAAGUUACUUUUAACACAAUAGCAGAUCCAGACAUUAUUUAUUGACGUGGCUAAACAUGAAAAGAUUAUGAAUUAAGUUAUAUUAAAAAAAAAAAAAAUAUUAUUUAAAGUAAUAUAUUUAUAAUAAAAAUUGUCUAUCAAAUAUGAGAGAUUAACAAAUAUGAAAGUGAGAGAAAUUUGAGAGGUGAUAACAGUGUUUCAAAAUCUGAAUUGAACCAGCCAAUCGAAUAAGGAACCAAAGGACUCAUUAGUCUGAUUUGAUUGUUAGAUCGAGUAAGUUAUUAAACUAAUGAAAAUAGGUCAUUACCGGCCAAAAUCGACGAGUUGGUGAUUUUGGAAAAUCGACGGGUUAAGUAUUUUUUUUCUCAAACAAAACAUCAUUGUUUUAAUAUUUUUCUUAAAAUAAAAUUAAAAUAUAAAUAGACUUUGUUCAAAACUUAUUUAAAGCAAUUUUUCCUUUGUAAUUAAAUUUAUUAGACACGGUAUUUAUUUUGUUAUUCAAUUUAUAUUACAAUUAAUUAUUUUUUUAACUUAUUUGGAUUUUAUAUUUUUUAUUAUUUUAUUGUGUGCGGUGCUUAUGUUUAGAAUUUGAUUUUAAAAAAUGAACAUGUAAAAUUAUGUUAUUUUAAAUUUGAUAGGUAUCGUGAUUUUUUCAGAUAUUAAGCCAUUUGAUUCGGUCAGUUUAAUAACUAUAUAGUUUUGUUCUAUAGAUUGGUUUAUUCAAUCGAGUUAUCCACUUUAUUCAACUGAGUUGUUUGAUUUAAUCUGAUUUAUCAUGCGGUUUUGACUAAUGACUCGGUGGUUGACCAAUAAACUAGUGAUCUAAUACUCUCAUUGAUUUAAUGAUCAGACCGAUUUUUAAAAUAUUGAAUGAUGAGAUUUAAGAGGAUGAGAAAAUUUUGAAAGAUAAAAAUGAGAGGAAGAGAAAAAAAAUAUUUUAACAUCACGUUUGUAUUCAAGAAAAAUACAAUUUCUAUAUCUAGAAUCAAAUUUGAUUCUACUACAUUUAGAAGUAGCACCAUAUACCAAACAUCCAAAAAAAAAUCAUAACACUAUAAGGUAAAAAAUGGAUAUUAUAAUUUUUUAAAUGAGUCUCUUAAUAAGAAAAAUAAUAUGUGAGUGUUGGAGUUCAACAAUGAACUUCCAUUAAUAAUGCAUAAAAAGAUGAGGAAUAGUUGCAGAAAAUUGAGAAAAAAAACAUAGAAUUAUGUAAUUAACUUUCUAAUCUCAAAAUUGCAAAAACUUAAAAUUUGCUACAACUACAAAUACAUUUGGAUUUAUAUAGACACCAAAUUCAACUCAAAUCCAUAUGAAACUUAAAUGCAAAUGAAAUUCAAAACUAAACUAACUUGAAUGUUGAAUUACAUUCAACACCAUCUCUUAGUUCACAUUCAAGUUUAAACAAUAACACCAAUUUCAUCCCUCAAAUUAAUGAAGUGCUCAAUUGUGAUUGUCUUGGUCAGCACAUCUCCAAGUUACUUCUGAGUGCUAACAUGCACAACCUCAAGUACUUCAUUCUGAACCUAAUUGCGCAAAAGAAUAGUACUUGGCAUCAAUGUGUUUGUUUCUUCCAUAUAACACUAAUUUCUUAGCAAGACUUAUGACAUAUUUGUUGUCAAUCAUCAACUUGAUUGGUUUGCUCACCUUGAACUUCAGUUCCUAUAGCAAAUUCAUUAGCCAAACAGGCUGACAAGCUGAUAGAGUAUCAGCUAUGUAUUCAACUUCACAGGUUACAAUGCAACCACUGGUUGCUUCUUGGAACACCAAGAAAUGAGGACUCCCAUAUACAUAAACAUGUAUCAUUUAGUGCUUCUUUUGUCAACUUUAUCACCACACCAGUCAGAGUCAGAGUAGCAUAUCAACUCAGCAACAUUGACACUCCAGAUGAAAACAAAACUUCAUGCCUCAUAGUUCCUUUUACAUACCUCAGAAUCCUUAGUGCAGUUUGAUAAUGUGACCACUUUGGUUUACUCAUAAUGCAUAACAUAUGUUAAGCCUGGUGUUACAUAGAUAUCUCAGACAGCCAACCAACUGUUUGAAGGUUGUGGCAUCUACAUCCUCACCAUCAUCAUCAGAGUCUACCUUAUGAUUUGUCUCAGCAAGUGUGAUUGUUGACUUACAAUUCAUCAACUCAAAUCUCUUCAGCAGCUCAAGUUCAUAAUACAGUUGAUGAACAAUAAUUCCCUUCUCAUAUAGUAUAAAUUGGAUGUAGAAAAUAAUUUGUUAAGUGUUAACAAUUUGCAUAAAAUAAUGCAUCAAUAAAAAAACUGAAUAAAAAACUCAACAAAAUUUCAGAACAAGAUUGAAGUGAAUUGUAGAUUUGGAGUGAUUCAACAGAAAAAAUAAAAAAUAAAAAUAUGUUUAGGGAUUCAAUUGAAUUGAAGUAGUAUUAAAAUUGGGGAUAGAGAAUUUGAGUAGUAUUCAAUAUUUUAAUAUUUCAAUUGAGGAUUAGAAUUUUUAUUAAUGGAUGCAAAAUGAAUUUUUAUCUAUGGAUGCAAAUUGAUUUGCGUUUUCUAAUUCAGAGGGAUACAAUCGUGAUUUGAUGGAUGGAUGAUACAAACUGUAUUGAAAUUGAAAUUGAAAGUUGGAAUAAAAGAAAGUGAAACGGUGCACAUAAAAAUUUGGGCCUAACAUAUGUAUAAUUUUUUUAUAAUACUAUGGGUAUAAAAAAGGGUUUAAUAUGUGUAUAAUUUGCUUAUAAUAUUAUGUGAGUAUUAAAAAAAAUUGAACCCCUAAAAUCUUGGGCUCUAGGUCGUCGCACUCCUGGCCUUAGACCAGGGUCGGCCCUGUUGUUAAAAUUGGCAAUGACUUCCUCUUUCUAAAUCGGGCUACCAAACUCAUUUUUGUUGAAUGAGCAAAGAUAAAGUUUUAUGAAUGUGAGGGAGCAUAUUCAUUAGCAUGAUAUGUGACCUAACCGGAGUGUAUCACUCAUCUAGGCCUUUGAGGAAAGAUAUGACAUAGUCACUCUUUAUAUGAUUUGAUUGUGUGAAUGAAGUCGCAUGAGCAUUUCAAAUUGCGGGAGCAUUUUGGUAGAGGACAGAAAUUAGCAAGUUAUUUCCCUAGCUUUUUGAGAAUUGUGUAAAAUUGGAUAAUUGUUUGGUGAUAGCGCUCUCAAAGUUUAUGUCAAACCUCGUGCACAGUGUUCAUCCAUACAAAAUAUGGGUCAAACAUAUCUGGUUCAUAAUUUAUGGUGUUUGUGGAAGGGGUGGUUUUGAUAGAGAAUAUUUAUGGAGAAGAAGAUGUUGGUGAUGGUGGGGUAAGGGAGUUUUCAAGGGUUUCCAUCGUCUGUAAUGGUGGUUAGUGUUAGGUUUCAAGGUCGAUUUAUUUUUAGAGCGCAUAACAAUAAUGACUGAUCUUGACCAAAAUGGUAAUUGAAAUUGUUGAGAGGUGGUGAAACAUUGCUAGACUACGGUUAUCUCUUGAGAUGCAUGAAGUAUGGGACAAGCAUGACUACUUGAUAAUUUAUGGUGGAUAUUUAUAGAGAAGAUGUUGGUGAUGAUGGUGUAAAGGAGUUUUUAGGGUCGAAGAUGGUUUCAAGGGUGGCCAUCCUCAAUGAUAGUGGUUAGUGUAAGGUUUAAGAGAGAGAGAGAGAGGGGGGGAGGGAGAGGGAGGGAGAGAGAGUUGUUUUGUUUGUAGGUGAUAGGUGAUGAUAACAUGACUACCCGAAGAGAUUUGAGAAGUUGCGGAAAAAAAGACACAUGUAAAUAUUUUAGCAAAGAGAUAAGAUUGUGAUUUGAAAGAAGAUAAGAUUCCGUCGAAAUAGUGAUAGUAAUGAGUAGGGCUCGGAUGUACAUGUCUUCGUAUCCGUAAUUUAAAAAAAUAUUUAUACUCUUAUGUUAUGGAUACCUAAGUACCAUUAUCCAUACAUGUUACUCACGGUUCUAGUAACAAUAAAUCUAUCAAUUGAAAAAUAUUAGAUCAUUUUAAAUUUUUAACAAAAUUAACAAUUAUGUAUAAUAGUUAUAUUAUGAAAUAGUUUAAUUGAGAUGUAUUUUUUUUUAAAGAAAUAAACCUACAUUUUUUAUCGAUGAUAUAAAUUAAAAUAUAUAAAUAUUUUUUUCUAAAGCAUGACUUCAAUGUUGGAUGGUACUCUCUAAAUAUAACAUGGCAAUUAUUAAGGUACGAGAGUGAAAGAUUCUACGAUCAAACAAAACAACCUGGGGGUGGUAUAUUAUGUGGGAACAAGACUGCAAAGGAAGGUGCCUCUUUUGGAACUACUGGACAAAAAGUGCUAAUGGAUCUCCAAUUAGCAACACCAAAAAUUAAAGGCUUUUUUGCAGCUACGAAGACUCUGGUGAAUCCUGGUAGCAAUAGUUCAAUUUAUGCCAUUGCACAGUGUGUCGAAACUGCCACAGAAAGUACUUGUCUUGAUUGCAUGACAGCUGGACUCAACAACUUGCAAACUUGUCUCCCUAAUACAGAUGGUAGAGCAUAUGAUGCAGGGUGUUUUAUGAGAUAUUCGGAGACACCCUUUUUUGCUGAUAAUCAGGCCAUUGAUAUCACAAACUAUUUAAAUCAAGGUACAAAUAUAAUAUAACAUAAAGUUCACUUUUCAUUGAUGUUAUAGAUUAGUAGUACCUCAUUUCAUUGAAACUGAUGUAAACUCUUCUUUUCUGUUAUGAAGGAGGUUCAAGCAACAAAUGGGCCAUUAUAGGUGGUGUUGUUGGAGGUGUAGGUCUUGUUGCGAUCCUUCUUGCAAUUUUAGCUUGGCGACAAUACAGAAAACCCAAGAGAGCUCCUAGAGGUCUGUGAUGCUUGUUGCUUUAGUGUGUAUUCUAUGUGAUGUUUGAUUCUAGUUUUGGAUCUGCCUUCAAACUCAUGUGUUCCUUGGCAGGCAACAUAUUGGGAGCAACUGAGUUGAAAGGUCCAGUUAACUACAAGUAUAGUGAUUUGAAAGCUGCAACAAAAAACUUCAGUGAAGAAAAUAAACUGGGAGAAGGAGGCUUUGGUGAUGUAUACAAGGUAAGAGAAAAGUUUUUUACAUAAUUUCAAUGAGAAGCAUGUUCAAAGACAAUAAUGAUUCUGUGAGUUUGUCACACACUUUUACAACCAUGCUAUUGAAAUAGGGUACUCUGAAAAAUGGAAAUGUUGUAGCAGUCAAGAAACUGGUUUUGGGAAAAUCCAGCAAGAUAGACAAUGAUUUUGAAAGUGAAGUAAAGCUUAUAAGCAAUGUUCAUCAUAGGAAUCUUGUUAGACUUCUUGGUUGUUGCAGUAAAAAACAAGAGAGAAUCCUUGUUUAUGAAUACAUGGCAAACAGCAGCCUAGACAAAUUCUUAUUCGGUAAAUCACUUCAAUUCAACCACACUCAUAAAUCAUUUAAUUUGUUGAAUGCUUCUUCUUCUACCUUUUUCAUAACCUCAAGUAUAUAAACAUGUUAAUUAAAUAGGUGACAGACAAGGUUCCCUCAAUUGGAAACAAAGGCGUGGUAUAAUUUUAGGCACAGCAAGGGGACUGGCCUAUCUACAUGAGGAAUUCCACAUUUCCAUUAUACAUAGAGAUAUAAAGACUAGCAAUAUCCUCCUUGAUGAUAAUCUUCAUCCCAAAAUUGCUGAUUUUGGAUUGGCGCGGCUUCUGCCGGGGGAUCGAUCUCAUCUAAGCACAGGAGUUGCAGGAACAUUGUAAGACAACAAUUUCAUUCACCUAGAUUACAUUUAAUUGAACAGAAUAUGUUAUAAAAGAGAGAACUAAGUCUCAUGUCAUGUAUAAAUCUUGUUUUGUUGAUCUUGGAAUGUAUAAUCUGCAUUUGUCAGGGGAUACACAGCACCUGAGUAUGCAAUCCAUGGUCAAUUAUCAGAAAAGGCUGAUACCUACAGCUAUGGUAUUGUAGUCCUAGAAAUCAUAAGCGGUCAAAAGAGUACAGAAGUGAAGAAAGAUGAUGAUGGUGAAUACCUUCUUCAAAAAGUAAGCAAUUUUCUCACAAGUCAUAACUAGGAAUUGUUGGUUAUUACCUCUCUAGUCAUUUUAAAAGAACCGAAGGGACUAUGUUCUAAUAUUUUACCAUAUGGUGUUUGAUUUUCACUCAACAGUCAUGGAAACUGCAUGAGAGAGGCAUGCACUUGGAGCUCAUGGACAAGGCUUUAGACCCUAAUGACUAUGAUGGAGAAGAAGUGAAGAAAAUGAUAGAGAUUGCUUUACUAUGCACUCAAGCAUCAGCAGGAAUGAGACCAACAAUGUCUGAAGUAGUAGUUCUCCUCCAAACCAGGAGUUUAGUGGAGCACCUACAACCAACUAUGCCUGUGUUUGUAGAUACGAAUCUUAGGUCUCGUGAAGGACACUCUACCUCAACUGGUUCUUCUACAUCUAAUGCUACUGCCUCCUUUUCAAUUUUAUCAGCUCGAUGAUUAUAUGCAGCAGUAAAGGGAAUUGAACCAAAAAGGUGACAAAAUAAACCAGAUGAGGGUUACUCUUCAUUGAUUCCAAUUGCUCACCAACCAUAUAGGUAGAAAAUAUAAUGGGAAAUAGUGACUAAUGUGGUGUUCGAUUUCAACAAGAGAAUUAAGAUAUAGUAUUAUACAUUAGACAGAUAAAAAGUUGCAGCUAUGUUUGUUAUGAACUUAUUGUGAGCUAGUUAGUUUGUUACAAAGGAGUUUUCCUUAUUUAUUUUUCUUGUAAUAUAAAUAUACAAUGUAUCUCUUCAUUAGGAGAGAGAAUAAUUCAUACCCAAAAGAGACACUUUCAUCAAAGUGCUUGCAUGCUCAGCACAUUACAUGUUCUUCAAAUUCAACAUGGUGACAGUACACAUCUCCACUUAUGUUGAGCCCAUUGAUAAUGGACAAGUGUGGUGAUUUUUAUUCAUUAUUAUACUAUAAUAUACUACAUUACAAAAGGCUACUAG
rnacentral:lncRNA from 1 species